rnacentral:lncRNA from 1 species
CUAUGGGUUGAUCACAGCACUGAUAAAAAGAAUGUGGUUGGAUAACAGCACUGAUAGGAAGACUGUGGUUGAAUCACAACACUAAUAGGAAGACUGUGGUUAGAUCACAACACUGAUAGAAACAAUGUGUUUGAUCACAACACUGACAGGAAUACUAUGGUUGGAUCACAUCACUGAUAUACGGUUUUUAUUCUACGUGAAUUUAAUUGAAAAAAAUAACUACUAAAUAUUUAAAAUUCCCUGAAUAAUAAAAAGGUAAAAAUUCUGACCAAAACCACAACCAUAUGAUGUAAUCGGCCGAGUCUACUCAUUAAAAUUAGGUGGUUUAUCAUGUAUGGAUCUCAUACUUUCUUCUUUUGGCUAGUCCAUUAAUGCAAUUGUUGUUCACAAAAAAGUAUGUGUUAUGAAAUUUUGAAGUGUCGAUAUCAUGCUUGGUAAUAUAUACAACGUUAGAGGUUAGUGCAAGUGAUGUUUACAUGGACCUCAAAUAUUACUUCAAUUAAAGAUACAAUAUGAGAAAUGUAAAUUUAAUAGGUGGAAAAUUGGGUCCGUUGAGUAGGUAUGCAGCGAUGUGUGGGGACUGUAGCUAGCUGUUAUCAGUGGAUGGAUCCAGUUAUAUGAAUUACUAUUCAAGUAUCCCUAUACUUUUGUGGAAUGCAUGUAUAUAUAAGGGUAAUAUGUGAUUGGAGUUAAUUACGAGCUCAUUGCCACCAAAAUUCAUCCAUGGGGCUCACACCAUUUUUCAUCUUUGUUGUUGUUUUGAGCCUAUAUUUGGUUGAUGGACUCAAUCAUGAGGCUAAGGACGUUGUUUCAAAUCGUAGAGUUUUGAAAGAACUAAAUGUGCAUGGAAAGAACACAACUUCUUCCGAGAUUAUUGUGGUUGACAGCAAAAUGGAAAUGAACCAUGGUGGUGGUGGUGGUGGUGGUGGUGGGAGUGGGAGUGGGAGUGGGAGUGGGAGUGGGGGUGGUAAAAGUGGUGGAAAUAAGAGGAAGCACAAGAAAAAGCACAAUGGUGGUAAAGGGAACAGUGCAGGUGGGAGUGGGAGUGGGGGUGGUAUAAGUGGUGGAAAUAAGAGGAAGCACAAGAAAAAGCACAAUGGUGGUAAAGGGAACAGUGCAGGUGGGAGUGGGAGUGGGGGUGGUAUAAGUGGUGGAAAUAAGAGGAAGCACAAGAAAAAGCACAAUGGUGGUAAAGGGAACAGUGCAGGUGGGAGUGGGAGUGGGGGUGGUAUAAGUGGUGGAAAUAAGAGGAAGCACAAGAAAAAGCACAAUGGUGGUAAAGGGAACAGUGCAGGUGGGAGUGGGAGUGGGGGUGGGGGUGGUAGUGGUGGUGGUGGUGGUGGUGGCAGAGGUGGAGGUGGAGGAGGAGGUGGUCAAGGUGGAGGUUGGGGUUGGGGAGGAGGUGCAAAUCAUAAUUGUUGGAUAUGGGGAUGUGGAGGAGGACAUGCACCUGCGAGCAAGGGAUGAGAAUAAGAUUUGAAACAAUCGGACUCUAUGAAUUAUGCAUGAUAACCUUUACGUCUUCAUUGAAUGUUAGCAUGCCUCACACGUUCGCUAAUAAAUUUUGUUCUGUUUUUCAAUGAUGUAUGCCCUUGUGGUCUUGUAACUAUUUCAAGAUUUCUUUCGCAAUACUACAACAAAUAACACUUUGCUUCAUUUUCCAUUCCACUAAUCACAUCUAACCUUAAUAGAUCAUUAAUUAAUCAUUUCUAACUCAGAUUCGGAUGUUAUUUACCGUUUUACAUACUCUAACCCUGAUUAACCAAAAGAAACUAUAAUCAACCCCAUUUCUGUUGAUGAGUCUAUCAAUCCUUUUUGACUAUAUCACAAACACUGAAUCCUUUCUAACUAUAAUCAACCCAAUUUCCAUGGUAUAAUCCGCUAACGAGGAAAAAAAAUCUAAGUGCAAUGUCUAAGUUGUGCAUCAACAAACAUUCAUGCAAAAUGAUAGCCCCAUGUGAUGGUCGUUUUGCCCCUGUAGUGGACAAUUUUGAUUUUCUCUCCUAGUGUUGCUUCCAAGUUCAUCGGCUCUCUUCAUGGAUUUGUUCUAAAGAUAUCUCAUUCAAUUGAUUAUAUCUUCCUCUGGCUUUCCCCUCUCCUUAAGUCCUGGUGGUUCUCAUUUGGCCUCUGUGGUGUUUCUUUUGCAUAUGCUUUAUAGUUUAAGCACGGUAUAAAAGGUGCCUCCCAAAAUAACGACUCCAUGUGGAUUCUCUCAAAGUAACAUUCACAAAUAAGAAGAUAAAACGAAAGCACAAUGUUAUAACUGAGUAGAACUUUCAAAAUGCAUCGUUCUAAAAGAAAACAAAAUGAAAGUAAAAUCUUACACUUGAAUAUAAUUGUCGAAUCAAAGGACAAUAGGAAGUAUUAAUUGUAAAACGAGCCUUGAGAUUAUAUUGUAAAAUGAGCAUUUCAUAUGCAUGCUAAUAUAUUUUUCUUAUGGAAGGGUAAAAUAGAUUAAGGUUCAAAUCUAUCAAAAUGCAUUUUUAGGCAUCGGAAGUAUUAAUUAGACUACAAAGAAAGUUCAUGGCCCGAAUAUAAUUUUAUACAUUAACAAUUAUUAAGCAUUUCACAUACAUUAACAUAAUCGAUAAAAAUGAUUACAUAAUAGAAUAUUAGUUGUCACUCAAAUGAGAUAGAAUGUAAGCAUCGCAAUAGCCAAUAGAGGAUUGUGUUACAGACUACUAUUUUAAAGAAUCUGAAGAAGAUAAUAUAGUCAAAAGAAAGAAAUAGUAGUUUCUCAUAAAUAUACUUGGCAUGAAACGCUCCUCCAACUGUUGCUAUAGAAGUUGCUACUAGCAUGUGACCAACAAUGGCUCCACUUUCUUAUGUUUUAAAGAAUCUGAAGAAGACAUAUAACUUAGUGAAAACAUUUCCUCUAAGUUUUUUUGGGUGUUAGAUAAGCACCCAUAUUAAAAAUAAAAAUAAAAACAAAAUAAAAACCAAAAACCAAAAACCUUAAAGUAUCUUCAAUAUAGUAAACCUAUUCCACAAAAUUAUCUAUCAGUCCUAUCAAAGCCAAGCAAAAGUGGAAAAGUUAUGUAAUAGAAAAUGGAAAAAAAUUUAGUGUAAUUUAUGUAAUUGUUUUAAACUAAAUUUUAUUUAUAAAAAAUACAAAAUAUCAGCUAAAACUUCGAAAAAAACUUUUUUGACAGAUUUCGCAGAUUUAGAUGGUAUAUAUCAUGUCCUUUUCGUUAGUUUGGUCAAAAUGUUAGGACUUUUUCGAAAAUUACCUAAUAACUAAAAUAUUAUGACUUUUUUUUAAAAUUACUAUGGAUUUAAUGGAUAUUAUCAUUAAAAAAAUCAUAUAUAAACAUAACAAAUAUUUUUUAUUAUAAAAAUAUAUAUUUGUUGUUAAUUUCUACGAAUAGAAUGGUGGACUAAGUACUCCUCUAUUAUUUGUUGAUCACUUCAAACUCGCAGAGGAAUAACUCGAGAAUGCAACCCAGGUAAUCCCUCAGAGCACUCAUUGUUCGGCCAUCGAAGAUCUCCAACUCCAACGGGUUAUCCAAUACGCCUGGAGCAUCAUCAAACUUCUUGCUAAGCGCAAGAGACAUGAAAGAUCUUAUGGGUUUUAUAGGUUAUCAAAAACAUGUAAAGCGGAAAAUCUUAACACUUUAGUUCACAGGCAACCUAUAAAGGACCCAUGUUUUCUCUAAUUGAUAGCAACAUACUAUGAACUUCAAGAACCCUAAAGGAACUCUAUGAAAAUCGAAAUUCAUGAAUUAGGGUUUACAUACCUUUAGAUUUAUUAUAGAAAAUAAAUCUUUGAUCAUUUCCUUUGUGUCUUUAGAAAGCAAGCAUCAAAAGUAUGAUGUCGGUAAUGGCUCACACCCAAAACCUUAGAAACCCUAUAAUGAAAAGGAGGGAAAGGAGAUUGAUAGAAAUUUUGUUCCUAAGUUUCUAGGUAAAGGUAUGAACGAUUUAUGUUGGUCUUGGGGUCCUAUUUAUAGUUUAGGUAACUUGCAGGCAAAGUCGGAUUUGAAUUAAUUAAAUAAUAGAUUUAAUCUCAAUUCAAAGGACUAAUAUCAGAAAAGUCCUAUAUUUUUGUCAUUAAAUUGGAAAAAUGCCUGAUAUUAAUUUUUUCUUGACUAUGGAUACGAUAUUUUCAUGGAAUUAUUACUUAAGAGCUAAUACUCGGUGACGAGCAUGUUAUAUGUAUUAUUUGGUCACCACUAAUCUAAUCCCUAGCCAUCACCUUUAACGAACCAUCACUGAUAAAGGGUUUCAUGCAUUCGAGAAGGGUUUGAUGCUGAGAAGGUUGUGCCCAAUUUAGCUUCUAGGAUUUUUCUGAAGAAACUUUCAAAUCCCCUUCAAAACUAUGUGAUGAUCCUUUCCUUAACUUAUUAUGUGACGGAAACAUAUUAAGGAUGAGUAUUGAUGGAAUGGUAGAUGAUGGAGACAAUCCUGGUGACCAACAAAAUAAGCAUGCCCACUUAGAUGAGGAUGAUGAAGAUGUUGGCAUCGAGUAUACGGUGUAUGAUCCCAACGUUGACUAGAAAGAGAUGAGGCCCUGAUGGAGUAUUGAUGGAACGGUAGAUGAUGGAGACAAACAAUACAGUCCAUGGACGAUACUAGCUUAAUUUUGAAAAAAAAUGACAAAUUGAGGGUUAUAGCUAAGUGUGGUGGUGGAAGGAGUGACAAUAAAAAAAAAUGCAGUGUCCAUUUAAGGUUGCAGUUCGAUGGAAAUACAAUGAAAGGACAUUCCAGAUUAAAUUAUGUAAUGAAAUUCAUCAGUGUGCUAGAAAUUGUCAAUUUGGUUGCCUACUUCAACAUAUCAUCGGGUUGUAGCUAUUAACCACAGGUGCGGGUGUUAACCUAUAUAGACCAAUACAUAUCUUUCCUAUCAUGUCAACUAGUUAUGAUCUUAUCUACCAUAGUGAUUUAGAAUAACAACUAGGUAUAAUAUUAGAUAAAGAGUUUAGGCAAAGUAGCUAUCGGGCAUAAUAUCAUCCUAAAGUUAUGAGCAUAAUUAUCCAGCUACAAUUAGUAAUAACUAUGUAAAGUUGCAUUCUAUACAUGUAUCCCCCCCCCCCCUCGAAAAGGUUUGGAAAAUGGGGCCGUGAAAUCAACUCUGAGUUAUGAAAACAUUGUGGUAGGGUAUAAAUCACAACUUCGCACUUCUCGAGAUGCUCGGGUGGUAGCACGCAGAACAAUAUAGAGAGAAAACAUAAGAGAGGGAUGAGGAAAUGAGUUGCCAAAACUUGUUAUUGAUAGCAAGUUUUGGAGUGUGCGUCGUGAAAGUGUGUGUGAACCGUAUGAUGCUACCAUAUGUCCUCAUAUCAGCGUGUCACGUCCUCGUAUAUCUCCACGUAUUGGGUGUUAGUAUAUGCAGCGCACUACGCACCAGCGCGUGCGACAGUAAAAAUGAACUUUUGAAAUUCCCUAACUCUCACAUAUGAACUUCGUCCUUAACGAAUCUUAUAUAUCCGUGUAUGUCUCGUCAUUCUCUACAACUUUCCUUUUGGUUGUUUUGUCUAGUUUUGACUUUCAUUUUUCGACGUGUUUUUAUUACCGUUAUAAUUUUAUAAAAAUCAUAACUCCUUCAUAUGACGUUCGUUUUAGGCGUCUCUUGCCUCAUAAUUCCUACUUUUUUAAUAUUAUGAUUGCCUAGUCGGUGACUUUUUCCAAAAUUUGACCAAUCUCCUUGUAGUUUUUGCCGUCGAUACUUUUUUAAGUAUGGUAGAUAUUUAUUUACCAUAAAUACCAUAUCUCACCCAUACCGUGUCAGAUUCGUACAAAAAUUAUAUUUCUAGAAUCAAGGUAACCUAUACAGUCUAAAUAUGUUAACAUGUUCCCAAAGUGACACGACUUUUUGCACACUUAUUUUUUAGCCUAAUGUUUGAUGUAAUUAGGGAUGGAAAAUUCAAAUAUAUUAAAACAUAUUGUGUGAUUACAAGAAUGUCCUUUUCACAUUUUUAUGUCAUAUCGUUAAAUAUAACUGCGGUUGGUGACGUAAUCUCUGGGUAGUCACAUCCUCCCCCCAUUAAAAGAAAUUUUGUCUUUAGAUUUAGCAUGUAGCUAGGAUGUUUUUAAAUAAAUGGGGAUACUCAUUCCUCAUUUAAUCUUCGUGUUCCCAUGUGUAUUUCGUUCCUUGCUUAGAGUUCCAUCGUACCUUGACUAUGGGAAUGCCUCUUUGCAUAAGUCUCUUGACUUUGUGAUGCAUGAUCUCAGUUGGUUCAACGAUAAAGUUGAGUUUUGUGUCAAUCUAGAUUUCAUCGAGAAGCAUAAUUGGCGUGUCUUCAAAGAGACAUUUCUUAAGGUUUGAAACAUGGAAGACGUUGUGUAUGCUGUUGAGCUCUUGGGAAGAGCAAGAUGGUAGGCUAUUGGGCCUAUUUUGGCAAGGAUCUUAAAAGGUCCUAUUUAUCAUUGAUUGAGUUUACAACUCUUUCCAAAUCUUAUAACUCCUUUCUAAGGAGAUACUCUUAUCAUGACUCUAUCUGCAACUUGGAAUUCAAGUGGUUUUUGUCGAAAGUUGCCGUAUUUCUUUUAACGAUCAUGAUCCAUCCUCAAUCGCUCCUUAAUUCUCACGAUCUUCCCGGUUGUUUCGUGAAUGAUCUCAGGUUCAGUUAGCAAAGUGUUCCCAACAUGUUUCUUUUCUAGUUGGGUAUCACCAACUUCUGCCCAGCACAACGGUCAACAAAACUUUCUACCAUAAAGUGCUUCAUAUGGUGCAGCGUUUAUACUUGUGUGAUAACUACUAUUAUAGGAGAACUCAACCAAUGGUAGGUAAGCAUCCCAUGCAUCUCCAAAGUCUAUCCCACAUGCUUUGAGCAUAUCUUCCAUGGUUUGUGUGGUCCUCUCCCUUUGACCAUCUGUCUGCAGAUGGUAAGAGGUACUCAUAUCGAGUCAGGUUCCUAGUUCCCAUUAAAUUGUUUCCAGAACUUGGACAUAAAUCGGUGGUCUCUCUGUGAGAUGACCAAUGUUGGUACACAGUGUAGCCGGACUAUCUCCUUGACAUAAUUUCUAGACAACUUUUUCAUUUUGUCCAUUUUUUAAUGGGUUGGAAAUAGGUUGACUUCGUCAAAUGAUCGAUUACUAACCAAAUCGUGCCAUAGCUUCUAGCUGUUUUGUGUAGUUUUGUGAUGAAGUCCAUGGCAACUUGCUCUCAUAUACAUUCGGGUAUUGUGGGUUAUUGCAGCAAACCCGAAAAUUUUUGGUAUUCUGCCUUAACCUUAGCGUAAGUCAAUCAUUUUCUCAUGAAGGUGGCGAUUUAUGCCUUCAAGAUCGGCCACCAAUACCUUUUUUAAGUCAAGAUACAUCUUAUCAUAUCCUGGGUGAACUAAUUAUCUUGUCUUGUGAGCUUCGUCCAGUACCUAACUUCUGAUGUUGCCAAAUUUUCGUACCCAAAUUCGGUCCAUGAAACACGAGGUUCCAUUAUCUUUGGACUCGAAUUGCUUUUCCAUACCGCGUAAGCAUUCUUUCGCCUUGUUUUCUUCCUUAAGUGCCUUUACUUGGGCUUCUCGAAUUUGGAUAGGAAGGUUUAACUGGAUAGUUAGAGUGAGAGCCUUCACUCUGUGAGGUUUGACUCGUUCCUUUCUACUUAGGUCAUCUGCUACUACGUUAGCUUUUCUUGGGUGGUAUCGAAUCUCACACUCGUAGUUGUUCAGCAGCUUAACCCAUCUUUAUUAUCUCAUGUUAAGUUCCUUUUGUUUGAAGAUGUGUUGAAGACUUUUAUGUUCUGUGUAUAUGACAUACUUUGUGCCAUACAAGUAGUGUCACCAGAUCUUCAAGGUGAAAAUUAAAGCUCCCAAUUCCAAUUCAUGGUUGGUGUAAUUAUUCUCGUGAGUUUUGAGUUGGUGAAAAUCUUAAGCGAUCACUUUGUCUCUUUGCAUAAGUACGCAUCCCAUGCCCUGAUGUGAUGCGUUGCAAUUGACAAUGAAGUCUUCAGUUCCUUCUGAAAGUGAAAGAAUCGGUGCACCCCACAGAAUGUGUUUCAAUCUCUAAAACUCAUAUUCUUUCCACUAAAACUUCAAAUCUUCAUGUAUGAGUAUCAACAGGGGUUUUGCUAUCUUUGAGAAAUUUUCAAUAAAUCUAAUGUAAUAGCCUGAGAAUUCUAGAAAUUUACGCACCUCCGUUGGCGUCGUGGGUGCUUCCUAAUUCUUUAUGGAUUUAAUCUUGGAAGGAUCUACGUGAAUACCCUUGUCACUAACCAUGUGUCCUAGAAAGUGUACUUCCCUAAGCCAAAAUUCACACUUCAGGAACUUUUCGUACAAUUUCUCUUUUGUCAACAACCAAAAUGAUUCGAAGAUGUUGCUCGUGUUCCUCCUCUAUUCAUGUGUAUAUUAAUAUUUCAUCAUUAAAUACGAUCAUAAUUUGCAAAGGUAUGGCUUACAAACACAGUUUGUGCAAUCCAUGAAGACUGAUUAAGCAUUAGUGAAGCCAAAAGGCAUAACUAGGAACUCGUAGUGGCCUUAUCGAGUUCUAAAUGCCAUCUUCGGAAUGUCCUCCUCUAGAACUCGAAGUUGAUGGUACCCUAACCUUAAAUCAAUCAUUGAUUAAAUUUUGGAUCCUUGGAGUUAAUCGAACAAAUCGUUAAUCCUUGGGAGUGGAUAUGUGUUCUUGAUCAUCAACUUAUUUAGUUCUUGGUAAUUGAUGCACAUUCUGAAGAUUCCAUCCUUCUUAUUAAGGAAUAGCACCAUGGUUCCCUAGGGUGAGACACUUGGUGUUAUAAAGCCUUUAUCUAGAAGCUCCUGAAGCUGACUGGACAACUCUUGUAUUUUCGAAGGACAACUCUUGUAUUUCCGAAGGGACUAAUCAGUAGGGAGAUUUUGCCACUGUAGAUGGCCCUAGGACUAGGUCAAUUCAAAAUUCAACUUCAGGAAUUGGCGGUAGUAUGGGCAAGUCCUCCGUAAAUACCUCGGGAAAACAUCACAUAUUUGGGGUAUGUCCUUAAUUUCCUUCUUCUUUCCCUUCUUGUAUGCGAUGUGCACCAAGAAAGUGUCAUACUUCUUCUAAAGGUAUUAAUGUGCCUUCAUGCAGGAGAUGAUUUUGAGGCUUUUGUUGGUCUUAUCUUCGUAUAUUACCUAUGAUUCCCCAUUGGGUAAUAGUAGUUGUACUUCCUUGUCGUAGUAUAAGAUCUCAUCUUUGUGUGCAGAUAACCAAUCCAUACCAACGAUGACAUUGAAGCUACCGAUGGUCAUGGUCAUGUGCUUGACGUGAAAAGUAAGGUUAUUGAGAGUUAGGAGGCAGUUUUCUAGUAUUUCCUGACCACUACCGGAUUCACCAUUGGCCAUUUCUAUUAUAUAAGGCUCAUCUAAGUUCCUAGACUUAUAGAUUAAAAGUUUUCUAAACAUAGGUCUAAUACAAAUUCUUUCAGCACCAGAAUCAAAGAGUACAUAUGUGUAUAAAUCGUGAACAGGAAAAGUACUUGUCACAACGGUAAGGUCCUGAAUGGCAUCCUUUGCACCAAUCACAAACGUGCUUCCCUUUGCGUUUCUUCCCUCAUUCCUCAACUUUUGGUCAGUUCCUUCUGAGGUAACCAACAAUCCUUUACUCAAAGUAGGCUCGAUUAUCUAGCAAGACAACCAUGACUGGGUUGGUUGCGGUGGUAGGAAUAGUCGCAGGUUGUCGGUACUAUUUCCAGGAUGUCCUCUGUGAUUGCACCAGGUACAAUGCAUGUAGUUACCAGAGUGGUGGAAGUGACAUGAGUUGCACUUGGGAUGUGAGAACUACAGUUAGUGCAGGGCCGCAUUGAUGGCAUAUGCUUUGACAGUUUUCUUUCUUUUGUUGGGAACUUGCUUGGAGUCACCCUUAAAUCUGCUUUUCGAUUUGCGUUUGUUUUCCCUUGUCCUCGGGAUGUCGGUUUUAUGGACCAACAUGUUGUUGGAACAGUGUCUAAGGCUGCAACUAUAUUAGCCAAGUAUUUGACCCGAUUGUGCAUGGUCCUUUUGGGUUGCCUUCACCAUAGCAACUUGAUAGGAUGAUUUAUUAAGAGAGAAUAAAUAUUAUUAAUAUAUUAUGAGAAUAAUAUAAAGAAUAAUAAUAUUGUUAUUUGAUUAAUAUAAUUCAUAAAUUAAUUGGUAUUAAUUUGGUGACUUAAAGAGAUUAAUUAAAUAAGAGGGUAUAAACUGUCAAUUGUUUGAUAGUUAAACUUUAGACUGUAAAUCCUUAUUGGAUAGAGAAUGGACGAAUUCUAGAAGCUAGGGAUAGCUUAAAAUCAUCCAAGGUUAUCUAAGGAAAGGAUAUGGAUUGCUUUAAGAGAAUAUUAUCCAACUAGGGUUUAAGUUGUAACCCUUAAGGGGUCUACAAGUAUAAAUAGACCCUAUGGCAAAGGGAAAUAAGCACCUCAUUGAAAGUAGAGAAUCCCUGGCCGAAUUUCCUCCCCUUUCCUCUCUCUCAAAUCAUCCUCCUUGCUAUUUGGUGUUUGUAAGCCAUUAGAGGAGUGACAUUUGUGACUCUAGAAGCUCCAAGACCUCAAGAUCAACAAGGAACUCAAAGGUAUGAUUCUAGAUCUGUUUUAAUGUUCUUGUUUAACCUAAUUAGUAAUUAGAAGUCUUGGAUUCAAAGCAUGUUUAUUAGAAAGCCUAGAUCCAAGCAUUAGGGUUUUGCAUGCGCACAUAGGAAAGUUCUUAUGGCUAAAACCCAUCAGUGGUAUCAGAGCCUAGCUUGGUUUUCUGUAAAUUGUUGCUUGAUUAACUGAAACAAACCUGCAAAAUUCGAAUUUUUGGUUUCUGAGUCAUGGACUCGGCGAGUCUCAAAGUGGACUCGGCGAGUAGGCCUGACUCGGCGAGUCCAUUUGUGCACUCGGCGAGUCCAGGCGUCAGGAAUGGCCAGAUUCGGGAUUUCUUUGUGUUUAUCUUAUCUUAACUUACCAUAAACUAAUUAGAUCAACAUUAAUUCGUUUUUCUGAUAAAUAUAACUAUUAUCUUGAUCUAGUUAAAGGUAAUUAUCAACUAAUUAAAUAUUUAAUUUCCUUAUAUGAUAAUUAAUUAAUUAUUUUGAUUAUUUUGGUAAUUAUCUUUAAAAGAAAUCUUGAAUAAAUCAAAUAUAGAUAAUUAGGAUAUUAAUUGUUAAUUGGAAUUAUUUGUUAUUUGAUCCUCCAUGUUUUAAAUGUUUAAAACCUACCCUCAUGUUUUGAAAUUUACUUUUGUGAUUAAAAGUUUUAAUUUAGACAACUUAAAUUUCAAACCCUAGAUUUUAAAAGUUUUAAAAUACAACCCUAUACUAAUAUGAUAUUACUAGAAUAAUAUAUAUAUGUAUAACUAAAUGCUAGUCUUACCGUUAGUAGGCCUCAUUCACGAAGCCGAUCUAUAAGGUGGGUAUAAGGUUGCGGCCUAUAAAAUGGCGCUUAAUGGGUGUACACUCACACCCACCGCUUGCUUGAUUGGUGGAGGGUCGUUAGCCGAACGGGUAGGAUAGGGCAACCUCAUCCUCUCAUUAAAAGUAUAAUAAGAAAUAUAAAGUAACUACACAUUUUUUUAAAAUUUCCCAAUCCUAGUUACUUUAGGAAAAGUGAAUUGAUGCAAUCCCAUGAAAUUACACUUUGCACCUUGCUAAGAUGUUAGUGGAGCGUGUGUGGUUUACCGGCACACUAAUUGGUUCUAAGCGAAGGUGGCAAAGGGUGAUUCAUUGUUUAUCAUAGUUCGAUGGAGCGUGUGUGGUUUACCGGCACAUCGAAUAGGUGAUUGUUACAAUGAAGGCACCAUGUGAAUUUGCAUGGUAAUUCACACCCGCUUUGUGAUCCUCGGCAUCCCAGUCACAAACAAGAGGGGCAUAUCGAGAUUUAAACAUGCCAUUGAAUAGUUUCAAUGAAUCUCAUCCGAACCUAGGAAUUCUCAAAAACACUUAGGACUAAUAGUUUAAGUUUUGUGAUGGAGAAUUAGUGAAUCGUCAUUCACUUACCUUCAAUUUAUUUGCAUGUUAGAUUACGGCAUCCCUUUUCUAGUAUGUAAAUGUUAUUGUUGGAUCCUAGCCCUAAUUUUCUUAUUGGGUGAUAAUUAGGGAUUCUUAUUCUAAUCUAUCUUUGUCCUUUUCUAAUUGUAGAUGUCGAACGCAAACAACGCUGCUGCUAGUUCUUUCACGUUGAUGAGCCUUUGCCAAAAGGUCACCUUCGAUGGAACGAACUUUAGCGAAUGGAUAAGAUACAUUCGCACCAUUGCUCGCUAUGAGGAUAAGGAGUAUGUCCUCGAUGAGAAGCUCGAGAAAAUCAACCCCGAAAUUGCUACUCCCGCCGAAAUCACCGCCUUUGAAACUCAUGAGCGAGAUGCAACGAAGGUACAUUGCAUCAUGAUCGCCACCAUGAACUCCGAAUUCCAAAAGUCCUACGAGGACAUGUACCCGUACGAGAUGCAUCAAGACUUAUUGGAGAGGUACCACCAAAACGCGAGACAAGAGAGGUACGAGAUUUUCACUAACAUGAUUUCCGCGAAGAUGGGUCAUGGAGAAUCUCUUACCGUGCACUUGCAAAAGAUGCAAAGGUAUGUUGACCGCCUCCGCAAGUUAAAUGUUGACUUCGGUGAAGACUUGGCGAUCGACAUGGUGCUUCACUCUUUGCCUCCGAUGUACAACCAAUUUAGGAUGACCUACCACAUGAACAAAGAAGAGGUCACCCUAAGCAAGCUCCAAGGUCUCUUGAGGGUUGCUGAGAGCAACUUCAAGGACAAGUCUGUUGCACCUACUCCCAAUCCGCCCGCUGCUCCUGUCUUGGCUAUUGGACAAGGGAAGGGAAAGAAGAGGAAAGCUUCAUCGAAGAACUAUCGCAAGGUGAAAGCCCGAGAUGGUGCCUCUUCUAGUGGGACCAAAGUUGAUCCCGCCAAGCCCUGCUCUAACCCGAAGGAGGCAGAGUGCCACCACUGCCACAAGAUAGGACAUUGGAAGAGAAGCUGCCCGGAUUACCUGCAAGCAAUCAAAGAAGGAAAGAUCAAGCCAUCUUUCGCAGGUAUAUAUACAAUCAAAUCUAACGAUUCUAAUCAUGCUAUUUCUUGGGUUCUUGAUACCGGUUGUGGUUAUCACAUUUGUUCUAAUGUGCAGGGACUAAGAAGAAGUAGGGAUGUGGAGCAAGGAAGGAUCAAUCUAAUCAUGGGGAACAGAAGAUCGUCGCCUGUGACCAAGAUUGGAGUGUAUUCUUUAGUGCUUAGGAAUAGUUUGGUUUUAGAUUUGAACAAUUGUUGCUAUUCGCCAGAAAUGGCUAGAAACAUCAUUUCAUUUCAUGGUUUAUAUAGACAAGGAUUUAGAUUUUCUUUUAAUAAUGAGAAUGGUUCUAUUUUGGCUUAUCUAAAUGGUGUCUUUUACUUUGAAGCUAUACCAUGUAAUGGAAUAUAUGAAACCGUUAUGAUUGUUGAUAACUUAGGAAAUGAUGUUUUGAAUAUUGAUUCUUCCACUAGUAUGGAUAAAGCAUCCUUGUGGCAUUGUCGUCUUGGACAUGUCAACAAGAAACGCAUAGCCCAACUCCAAAAGGAUGGAGUGUUGGAGUCAUUCGACCUUAGGGAAGAUGACACAUGCGAGUCUUGUUUGCUUGGAAAGAUGACUAAGUCACCCUUCACGAGUACAUGUGAAAGGGGCGAGGGUCUAUUGGACCUAAUACAUACCGAUGUAUGUGGACCGUUUAGAUCAACCACGAAGGAUGGGAACCGCUUCUAUGUGACUUUUACCGAUGACUAUAGUAGAUAUGGGUAUAUCUACUUAAUCAAGCAAAAGUCAGAAACCUUUGAAAAGUUCAAAGAGUUCAAGAAUGAAGUGGAGAAUCAAUUGGGCAGGAAAAUCAAGAUGCUUCGAUCCGAUCGAGGAGGAGAGUACCUAAGUCUUGAAUUCCACGAUUAUCUCAAGGAGUGUGGAAUAGUUUCGCAAUUGACGCCUCCUAGGACACCGCAGUUGAAUGGUGUGGCAGAAAGGCGUAAUCGAACCUUAUUGGAUAUGGUUCGCUCUAUGAUGAGUCGUGCUUCACUACCUAUCUCUUUUUGGGGGUAUGCCUUAGAGACUGCCGCCCAUAUCCUUAACCGAGUCCCUACUAAGAAGGUUGCCAAAACACCUCACGAGAUGUGGACAGGGAAAGCUCCCUCGUUGGCACAUAUCAAGGUUUGGGGUUGCGAGGCUUUCGUAAGACGAGAUACUCACGACAAGCUUGAACCUCGAAGUGAGCGAUGUAUUUUCAUCGGCUACCCGCAGACAUCCUUUGGAUAUCUCUUCUAUAGACCGAAGGACAAUGUUGUCUUCGUUGCGAGGAGAGGAGUUUUCCGAGAGCGAGAACUCAUAAGCCAAGGAGACAGUGGGAGGCAAAUCGAGCUUGAAGAGAUUCAAGAGUCGAUAGAUGAAGGAACCUCUACCGCUGGCACUCAACCCGAGGAGGAAACUCCGGUUGAACCGAUUGACGAAUCCUUACCUCUUAGACGUUCCGAUAGAGUUAGAGUUCAGCCCCAGUUUUAUGGUUUUCAUAUUACUACCGAAGGGGACACGUAUAUUAGUGAUGGUACACUAAUAAAUCUUGAUGAAUCGGUGUGUAGAUUGUCUAAAUGGUAUUAUCCGGAGUCUGUAAAGUGGAAAGAGGCAAUGGAUAGCGAGAUCCAAUCCAUGUAUGAUAACCAAGUUUGGAAUUUGGUUGAUUACGUGCCCGGACGUAAGACCGUUGGGUGCAAAUGGAUCUUCAAGAAGAAGACCGACGUGGAUGGNNNNNNNNNNNNNNNNNNNNNNNNNNNNNNNNNNNNNNNNNNNNNNNNNNNNNNNNNNNNNNNNNNNNNNNNNNNNNNNNNNNNNNNNNNNNNNNNNNNNNNNNNNNNNNNNNNNNNNNNNNNNNNNNNNNNNNNNNNNNNNNNNNNNNNNNNNNNNNNNNNNNNNNNNNNNNNNNNNNNNNNNNNNNNNNNNNNNNNNNNNNNNNNNNNNNNNNNNNNNNNNNNNNNNNNNNNNNNNNNNNNNNNNNNNNNNNNNNNNNNNNNNNNNNNNNNNNNNNNNNNNNNNNNNNNNNNNNNNNNNNNNNNNNNNNNNNNNNNNNNNNNNNNNNNNNNNNNNNNNNNNNNNNNNNNNNNNNNNNNNNNNNNNNNNNNNNNNNNNNNNNNNNNNNNNNNNNNNNNNNNNNNNNNNNNNNNNNNNNNNNNNNNNNNNNNNNNNNNNNNNNNNNNNNNNNNNNNNNNNNNNNNNNNNNNNNNNNNNNNNNNNNNNNNNNNNNNNNNNNNNNNNNNNNNNNNNNNNNNNNNNNNNNNNNNNNNNNNNNNNNNNNNNNNNNNNNNNNNNNNNNNNNNNNNNNNNNNNNNNNNNNNNNNNNNNNNNNNNNNNNNNNNNNNNNNNNNNNNNNNNNNNNNNNNNNNNNNNNNNNNNNNNNNNNNNNNNNNNNNNNNNNCAACUAUAUUAGGCAAGUAUUUGACCCGGUUGUGCAUGGUCCUUUUGGGUUGCCUUCACCAUAGCAACUUGAUAGGAUGAUUUAUUAAGAGAGAAUAAAUAUUAUUAAUAUAUUAUGAGAAUAAUAUAAAGAAUAAUAAUAUUGUUAUUUGAUUAAUAUAAGUCAUAAAUUAAUUGGUAUUAAUUUGGUGACUUAAAGAGAUUAAUUAAAUAAGAGGGUAUAAACUGUCAAUUGUUUGAUAGUUAAACUUUAGACUGUAAAUCCUUAUUGGAUAGAGGAUGGACGAAUUCUAGAAGCUAGGGAUAGCUUAAAAUCGUCCAAGGUUAUCUAAGGAAAGGAUAUGGAUUGCUUUAAGAGAAGAUUAUCCAACUAGGGUUUAAGUUGUAACCCUUAAGGAGUCUACAAGUAUAAAUAGACCCUAUGGCAAAGGGAAAUCGGCAUCUCAUCUCAAGUAGAGAAUCCCUGGCCGAAUUUCCUCCCCUCUCCUCUCUCUCAAAUCAUCCUCCUUGCUAUUUGGUGUUUGUAAGCCAUUAGAGGAGUGACAAUUGUGACUCUAGAGCUCCAAGACAACAAGAUCAAACAAGAGAUUCAAAGGUAAACUUCUAGAUCUUAUUUUGUAUUGUUCUUAUACCUAAUUAGUCAUUAGAAGUCUUGGAUUCAAAGCAUGUUUAAUUAGAAAGCCUAGAUCCAAGCAUUAGGGUUUUACAUGCGCACAUAGGAAAGUUCUUAUGGCUAAAACCCAUCACAUGUCUCAUCUUAUUUGCCGUUUGGUCAGGAUAUAAGCCAAUCUUUUCGCACUAUCAUAUGUCGAUGGUCAUGAAGCGAUGGCCAACCCUUGAAUGGGCUGAACCAAUCCCUAUAUGUACCUUUAAAAUUUCUUGUACUUAUGUCUCACAAUGUUUGGGUAAAAGUUAGUGAAGUCAUUGAACCGGUUGGUGUAAUUCGAGAUGUCGAUGUCACUCAUGGUCAAGUUCCACAUCUCUUGCUCCAGUUCUUACAUCUCCUAUCGAGGAUAGUAUUCCUCGAUAAGCAUCUGUUUCAGUUCAUCAUGAGUUAAGGCAUUAGCACUUGUGAGACUCAUGGGCUUGACAUGGCCAUUCCACCAACACAUAGUCGUGUCUGCAAAAGUCAAACCGAUGAACUUAACCUUGCUUCCCUCGACGCAAGAAUGGAUCUCAAAGACAGACUAUGUCUUCUCAAUCCACCUAGUAAGGCCUCCAACUACCAUGUUCCCAUAAAACGUCCUAGGUUUGUAGUACAUAAAGUAUUUGUAGGUGCACACACUUUAUGCACCUUUCUCGUUUACUUGGGAGCCUUCACUUCCAGUUCUCGAGUUUGUGUGACGAUCAUUCCCGAAUGCUGCUAGUUCCUCGGUUAUUCUUUGCUCGACCUUUUCCUAAAUAGCCACGUGAUCUAGAGGUGGGUUAAUUUGUGCAGACUGAGCAUCCUGUACAGCUUGGAGUCCUUUGCUAGAUCUGGUAAUUCUUGGGGGUGCAAUUUCUAGAUUCCUAAAGUUAACGUCGAUAUGUGACUUAAUUAGUUGGAAUUAGUAAGUUUGUACUUUCAUGGUUAGGUCGUGGUGUAUUAGUGUUGGUGAUGGAAACAACCAUAGCAACACAGAUUCCAUGAAAACAUAUAAGAAUGCCAUGCAUCAUAUAUUAUACAAAAACUAUCAAAACAUAAGGGCGGUUUUAGGAUAGGAAAAUCUUUAGGGUUACAAAACAUGUGUGUGUGAGCCUUUCCCCGUAUUCCAACCCAAAAAUAAAAGUAUCAGUAUCCCUCCUAGCCAUCAUACUAGGACAAAAAAAAGAAAACUAGAAUCCACAAUAUACUAUCAAGAGAGCCAUCAGCUCGACUAACUGUCUAUAUACAAACUCUAAACAAACAUCAAAAGGAGAAACAUGUGACUUCAUCCUCUCCACCUAAAGCUCUGAUCAGUCCAUGUGGCAGACAACCUCCUCUACCCCUGAAGACGGAACUAGGCUUCAUCUCGUGCCUCCUGCAGCUAAUCAUGGACUAGUAAGGUCUGCAUUUCCAUUACGUCCAUCUCCUCCUCCAAAUAUUAUAGCCUCUUUGUGAGCUUCAUCAGGGUCAUACUCAAUAUGAACAUCUUAGAUUCCAUUGCUUCAAGGCGGUCUAAGUGACGGGCGGUACGAGGCACCAAAAGAGAAAUAGCCUACUUAAUAGGAUUAUUUGAGGUAGGACGAGGUGUGGUAGAUGAUUACCCACCUUGAAUCGUGAGCAAAUAUCCUCUUCCUCCCUCCAGGCUUGUAUUUGCGGUAUCCAAGUGGCAUCUCAAUCGGGUUUCUUUGUAGGUGGUAGUGAUGUUGGAGGGGACUCCACUCUCUUCCGAUAGGGAGCGACAACCGUCUUCCUCAGGGUUUGCUCCACCCAAUUACCCGUGUACUUCCUGUAAGAUCUAUGUGAAGGAGUGGGAGGAGGUGGUGAGAUCUCUUGUGAGGUAUCAGUGUCCUCCUUUUCCUUAUCGGGCUCGUACUCAGAACUGAGAAGAUAUAUCCUUGCCGGUGUAUAGUUUGGUGAAAGAGUUGGCUUUGAUAGGUGCCCAGUCAAAGUAUAAUUGGGCUCUGUGUCAUCACCGUCCUCCAGGUAUCGACAGGGUCGAAGUUAACAAGUACAUCACAUUCCUCCUCUGAUGAGGAAGCUACCCUCCACAAUCCAUCUCCUGCCAUGCUCUCGACAAAUCCGCAUAAGAUAUCAAACAGGAAAGAUGUAUAUAAUAUAUGUAAAGAUCAAUUAAAUACUAUAUAAUAUCCAGUUAUAAAAGAUAAAAGUUGUAACUCCCGAGUCCCCCUACUAUGUCGUAAGUUAGUGGUUCCUAGGGCAAGAAAUCCUCGAGAGUCGAUGUUAUUGAGUCAAAAAUCUCCAAAUGUAAAAGUCUCUAAAACAAAUCCAUGAGUAGUCAAGAAGUAGGGUAAUUAAUGUAAAUACUAAUUUAUUAGGUUUAAAGGGUUAAACCUAAUCAGAGUGUAGCCCUAGAUUAUAUAUGUAUUUCCUAAAGGAUUACUAGUUCACUAUAAUCUAUAGCUAUAAUAUCAAUUAUUCAUACCCCUGGCUGGCAACGGAAGCGUCAAGCUGUGCAAACUUAGGAUAUUCAGAUUUCAUGCCAAAGAUAUAAAUUGAGAAAUACACAGGAUGUAUUAAACAAAAUAGCAAUUUACUCAUUAAAUAAAAUAUGUUACAUAGUUGUUCAAGGUACAAGUAGGUUACCAAAGCAAAGUAGAAAAAUUAAAGCACAUAGACUUCGGGCUGCAUCACCGGGGUUAUCUCCUCCUUCAGACAUGUUCAUUCUCCUGAGAAUACGUGUCAUUUGAGAGGUCAACAUAAUGUUGGUGAGUCCAUAGGUUUAUGAUUCUUAAAGUGUGGGUGUUUUAGUUUAUCUUGUUUAUCCUAAACUUGCUUCCUUAAGUUUGUGUGUACUAUCACUACUUUCGUAGGUUGGUUCCUAGAAGUAAUCUAUGAUAGGUAGUUUUAUUUUACCAAAGUUACGAUGAGUUCUUAUAACCGAUCUAUGACGGUUGAUCCAAAAAAAACCAGGACGCUUCAUCGGACGUUGUUGAGUUUAGAAAGUUAUGUCUGCUUCGACAUGUUGUCAGGUUGUAGCUAGCAACCAUAGGUAGGGGUGUCAACCCCGUAUAAAUCUAUACAUAUCUAUCCUUCCCACUUAAGAUUUAACGAUUAUAGGUCGGGAGCUAGAUGAAAAUAUAUCAGCGUGUUAUUGAAUCAUGUCUCAUCUAACUCUUGUUGUAGUGGCCUCCCAUGGUCGGUCGUUAUGUUAUUCGUAUUUUAUUUUUAUAGUUUUACUUAUUUUAUAUAUAUAUAUAUAUAUAUAUANNNNNNNNNNNNNAUAUAAUUAGUGUGUUUUGCGUAACCCAGUGUUUGGGCAGAGUAAUACUAGGUACUAAGCUUAUCUGAAUGGUGGUUAAAAUAAUAAGAUUCAACGUUUCUUGGCAACUGGCCAGUGUGACAACUAGGUGUGAUCAUAUCUAUCAUAGUGGUUUAGCAUAACAACUACCCAUAAUAUUAGGUAAAGAGUUUGGGCAGAGUAGCUACCGGGCAUAAUAUCAUCCUAAUGUAAUGAGCAUAAUUCUCUAACUAUAAUUAGUAAUAACUAUGUAAAGGUUCAUUUUAGGCAUGUAUUCCCCCCGAAAAGGUUUGGAAAAUGGGGCUGUGAACUCACUCGUGAGUUAUGAAAAUGUUGUGGUAGGUUAGAAAUCACAAGUUCACACUUUGAGAUAUGUUUGAGGCGGUGGCACACGGAACGAUAUAGAGAGAAAACUGAAGCAGGGAAUGAGGAAUUGAGCUGCCGAAACUUGUUAUUUAUAGCAAGUUUUGGAGUGCAUGCCAUAGAAUUGCAUGUGAAUCAUACAAUGCUGCCACGUGUCCUCAUCUCAGAGUGCCACGUCAUCCCAUAUCUUGACGUAUCAGGUGUCGGUGACUGCGGCGCACUUUAGGUUAGCGUGCGUGAUGGUAAAAAUUCAACAUUGAAACUCCGUAACACUAGCAUAUGAACUCCAUUCUCAAAGACUCUUAUAUAACCGUGUAGGUAUCGUCAUUCUCUACAACUUUCCUUUUGGUCGUUUUGUCUAGUUUUGACUUUCUUUUUUCGACGUCUUUCUAUUACCCUUAUGAUUUUAUAAAAAUUAUAACUCAUUCAUAUGACGUCCGUUUUAGGCAUUCAUUGGCUCAUAAUUCCUACUUUUGUAAUAUUAUGAUUGCCUAGUUGAUAAGUUUUUCCAAAAGUCGAUCAAUAUCAUUGUAGUUCUAUUCAUUGUAACUUUUUAAAUACCGUAGAUAUUUAUUUUCCUUAAAUGUCAUAUCUCACUCAUACCAAGAUAGAUUCUUACAAAAUUUGUAUUUCUAGAAUCGCGGUAACCUAUAGAGUCUAAAUAUGUUAACCAUGUCUCAAAGUAACACGACUUUUUAUGCACUUAUUUUUUAGCCUAAUGGUUAAUGCAAUUAGGAACAAAAAAUUAGAAUAUAUUAAAAUAUAUUGUGUGAUUACAAGGAUGUCCUUAUUACAUUUUUACGUCCUAUAAUUAAAUAUUAACGGCAAUUGGUGAUGUAUUCUUUGGGUUGUCACAAAUUUUGACCUAGAGGCAAACUUGGAGGAUUUGGGUUGGUGAUUAGGGAUUUUUCUGUCUUUGUGAUAGUCGGUUUGCGGGAUUGAGCAGUACAAGGUGUGAGAGUGUAGUUUUGCUUCUUCGGUUCUUCAUUGCAAGUGAUUUUCUCACUAUUUUAUAUAUCUCAUUAUAUAUCCUUCGCAUGUUAGGAUAGAGGUGUUAUUAGAGCACAAGUAUGUUAUUAGUUGAGGUAAUUCCUUUGUAUUUAUGUGUUGUAUUAGACACUUAAUGUCAAUGUAUUAUAGACUCAUAAGGUCUUACUUGUUGAUUGUAUAGAACUGUUAAGGGUUAUGGUUGGUUAGUGUAACUAGGGUAGAUAAGUCAUCAGGAUUAUGUUGAUUGACCAGCGAAGGACUUAUUGAGAAGUGAUCAAUGGCAUGAAACUAGGAAAGACUAGUUGAUAAUGUUAUGGACAUGUAUGUAUUUGCUAUGUAGUUAUGUCGCAUGAUUAGGCAAAAGAGAUACUUUAGGUCCUAUGUAAUUUUAGUGGAUAGCCUGAGAACUCUUUGCUUAAUACCUGAUUGUGAUGUUCUUGUCUAAUUGUUCGCUCUUGGGUGGGUCACUGGUUUGACUGUCUGUCUAACCCCUGACUAAGUACAUUUGACUUUAUGAUUUGUUUGGAGACUGUGAGUUGAUCACAACACUGAUAAAAAGAAUGUGGUUGGAUCACAACACUAAUAGGAAGAAUGUGGUUGGAUCACAACACUAAUAAGAAGACUGUGGUUGGAUCACAACACUGAUAGAAAGGAUGUGUUUGGAUCACAGUACUGAUAGGAAGACUAUGGAUGGAUCACAUCACUGAUAGGAAGAUUGUGGUUGGAUCACAUCAACUGUAUGAAAGGCCAGGGUUCCCGUCACUAGCAAUAGAGCCAGGUUUAGGCUCGUAUACUCCCUAGGGUUGGGCCCGAUACACAUAAUAUAUGUAUGUGGCUAGAAGAGUUGACUGUUCAGCGUUAGAGUCGAGAUCUUGUGUGGAUACAUUAUAUGUAUUAUCGAGUAUGUGGUAUACUGAGGAACUCACUAUGUUUUAUGCAUGCAGUUGUGGAUCAAACAUUUUGUAGGCUGUUUGUGAGAAGUGCUCAGUGGGACUAUACACACGCAUCGAAGACGCUUGUUUCCACAGUUUUGUAAACUUAACUAUGAUAUUGUAUGGUUUUAACCAAAUAAAUGUUACUACAUGGUUUUGAAACAAAUAUUUUAAUUGGUUACUAUAUUUUAAAACUGAAAAAUCUCUUUGAAUUUUUGAGACGCUACAAUAAAUGGUACAUUUUGAAUCAUUUAAAAAAAAAAUUAAUAAGCUCGUUGAAAUACUAGUUUGUUUAGUUUUUCAAAUAGUUGGCUUAUUAAUUACUUUUUUACCUUAUCAUUUAUAGCAACCUAAAAAAAUAAAAUAAUAAACUAACUUGUAAACUAGUUAUGACUUGUCAAACAUAAUUAGUUAAUUUACUAAACUUUAUAUGAUACAUAAAUAAAUAAAUAAUAAUAAUAUUCCUCUGUAAGUCUCUAUGUAUGAAGAAAACGGACAUAGUUCUAAUAUACUUAUGAUAUACGGUUUUUAUUCUACAUAAUUUAAUUAAAAAAAAAAUAACUACUAAAUAUUUAAAAUUCCCUGAAUAAUAAAAAGGUAAAAAGUCGGACCAAAACACAACCAUAUAUGAUGCAAUCGGCCGAGUCUACUCAUUAAAAUUAGGUGGUUUAUCAUGUAUGGAUCUCAUACUUUCUUCUUUUGGCUAGUCCAUUAAUGCAAUUAUUGUUAACAAAAAAGCAUGCGUUAUGAAAUUUUGAAGUGUCGAUCAUGCUUGGUAAUAUAUACAACGUUAGAGGUUAGUGCAAGUGAUGUUUACAUGGGCGUCAAAUACUACUUCAAUUAAAGAUACAAUAUGAGAAAUGUAAAUUUAAUAGUUGGAAAAAUGAGUAGGUAUGCAGCGAUGUGUGGGGACUGUAGCUAGCUGUUAUCAGUGGAUGGAUCCAGUUAUAUGAAUUACUAUUCAAGUAUCCCUAUACUUUUGUGGAAUGCAUGUAUAUAUAAGGGUAAUAUGUGAUUGGAGUUAAUUACGAGCUCAUUGCCACCAAAAUUCAUCCAUGGGGCUCGCACCAUUUUUCAUCUUUGUGGCUGUUUUCAGCCUAUAUUUGGUUGAUGGACUCAAUCAUGAGGCCAAGGACGGUAUUUCAAAUCGUAGAGUUUUGAAAGAACUAAAUGUGCAUGGAAAGAACACAACUUCUUCUGAGAUUACUGUGGUUAACAGCAAAAUGGAAAUGAACCAUGGUGGUGGUGGUGGUGCUGGUGGUGGUGCUGGUGGGAGUGGGAGUGGGAGUGGGAGUGAUAGUGGGAGCGGGAGCGGGAGUGGGAAAAGUGGUGGAAAUAAGAGGAAGCACAAGAAAAAGCACAAUGGUGGUAAAGGGAACAGUGCNNNNNNNNNNNNNNNNNNNNNNNNNNNNNNNNNNNNNNNNNNNNNNNNNNNNNNNNNNNNNNNNNNNNNNNNNNNNNNNNNNNNNNNNNNNNNNNNNNNNNNNNNNNNNNNNNNNNNNNNNNNNNNNNNNNNNNNNNNNNNNNNNNNNNNNNNNNNNNNNNNNNNNNNNNNNNNNNNNNNNNNNNNNNNNNNNNNNNNNNNNNNNNNNNNNGGUGGAGGUGGAGGUGGUCAAGGUGGAGGUUGGGGUUGGGGAGGAGGUGCAAACCAAAAUUGUUGGAUAUGGGGAUGUGGAGGAGGACAUCCACCGGCGACCAAGGGAUGAGAAUAAGAUUUGAAGCAAUCGAAUGUAUGAAUUAUGUAUGAUAACCUUUACGUCUUCAUUGAAUGUUAGCAUGCCUCACACGUUCGCUAAUAAAUUUUGUUCUGUUUUUGAAUGAUCUUUGCCCUUGUGGUCUUCAACCAUUUCAAGAUUUCUUUCGCAAUACAACAACAAAUAACACUAUGCUUCAUUUUUCCAUUCCACUAAUCACAUCUAACCUUGGUAUAUCGUUCACUUUAAUCAUUCCCGAUUCCGAUUCGGAUGUUAUUUAUCGUUUUACAUACUCUAACCCGGAUUAACCAAAAUAAACUAUAAUCAACCCAAUUUCUGUUGAUGAGUCUAUCAAUCCUUUUUGACUAUAUCACAAACACUGAAUCCUUUCUAACUAUAAUCAACCCAAUUUCCAUGGUAUAAUCCGCUAACGAGGAAAAAAAAUCUAAGUGCAAUGUCUAAGUUGUGCAUCAACAAACAUUCAUGCAAAAUGAUAGCCCCAUGUGAUGGUCGUUUUUCCCUUGUGGACGGUUUUCCCCAUGCUCCGGAUCUGCCCCUGUAGUGGAUACUUUUGAUUUUCUCUCCUAGUGUUGCUUCCUUGUUCAUUGGCUCUCUUCAUGGUUUUGUUCUAAAGAUAUCUCAUUUAAUUGGUUAUAUCUUCAUCUAGGUUUCCACUUGUGAGGUCUCCUUAAGUCCUGGUGGUUCUUAUUUGGCCUCAGUGGUGUUUCUUUUGCAUAUGCUUUAUAGUUAAAGCAUGGUAUAAAAGGUGCCUACCAAAAUAACGACUCCAUGUGGAUUCUCUCAAAGUACCAUAACUAAGAAGAUAAACGAAAGCACAACGUUAUAAUUGUGUAGAACUUUCAAAAUGCAUCGUUCUAAAAGAAAACAAAAUGAAAGUAAAAUCUUACAAUUUAAUAUAUUUGUCGAAUCAAAGGACAAUAGAUGAAACACCAUUAAAGCCUUGAGAUCAUAUUGUAAAGUGAGCAUUUCAUAUGCAUGCUAAUAUAUUCUUCUCAUGGAAGAGUAAAAUAGACUAAGGUUCAAAUCUAUCAAAAUGCAUUUUUUAGGCAUCGGAAGUAUUAAUUAGACUACAAAGAAUGUUAAUGGCCCGAAUAUAAUCUUAUAAAUUAACAACUAUUAAGCAUUUCACAUACAUUAACAUAAUCAAUAAAAAUGAGUACAUAAUAGAAUAUUAGUUUACACUCAAAUGAGAUAGAAUGCUUACAUCGCAAUAGCCAAUAGCGGAUUGUGUUACAGACUACUAUUUUAAAGAAUCUGAAGAUGAUAAUCUAGUCAAAAGAAAGGUAGUAGUUUCUCAUAAAUAUCCUAGGCAUGAAAUGAAACGCACCUCCAACUCUUGCUAUAGAAGUUGCUACUAGCAUGUGACCAACAAUGGCUGCACUUUCUUAUGUUUUAAACAAUAUGAAGAAGACAUAGAAUUUAGUGAAAACAAUUUCUCUAAGUUUUUUUUGGUGUUAGGUAAGCACCCAUAUUAACAAUAAAAAUAAUAACAAAAUAAAAAAAUAAAAACCAAAAACCUUAAAGUAUCUCCAAUAUAGUAAACAUUUUCCACAAAACUUAUGUAAAAGUUUCAAACUAAAUUUUAUUUAUAAAAAAAUACAAAAUAUCGGCUAAAACUUCGAAAAAAAAAAUCGACAGGCUCUGCAGUUUUGGCUGGUAUAUGUCAUGUCCUUUUUGUUAGUUUGGUCAAAAUAUGAAGACUUUUUUGAAAAUUACCCAAUAACCAAAAUAUUUGGAUUUUUUUGAAAAAUACUAUGGAAUUAAUGAAUAUUAUUAUUAACGAAUCAUGUAUAAACAUAACAAAUAUUUUUUAUUAUAGAAAAACUCAUUUGUUGCUAAUUUCUACGAAUAGAAUGGUGAACUAAGUACUCCUCUAUUAUUUGCAGACCACUUCAAACUCGCAGAGGAAUAACUCGAGAAUGCAGCCCAAAUGAACCCUCAAAGCACUCACUGUUGGGUCAUCGAAGAUCUCCACCUCUAACGGGUUAUCCAAUACGUCUGGAGCGUCAUCAAACUUCUUGCUAAGCGCAAGGGACACGAAAGAUCUUAUGGGUUUUAUAGGUUAUCAAAAACAUGUAAAGCGGAAAAUCUUAACACUUAAGUUCACAUGCAACAAAUAAAGGAUCUAUGUUUUUUUCUAAUUGAUAGCAACAUACUAUGAACAUCAAGAACACUAAAGGAACUCUAUGAAAAUCAAAAUUCAUGAAUUAGGGUUUACAUACCUUUAGAUUUAUUAUAGCAAAUAAAUCUUUGAUCAUUUCCUUUGUGGCUUUAGAAAGCAAGCAUCAAAAGUAUGAUGUCGGUAAUGGCCCACACCCAAAACCUCAGAUACCCUAGAAUGAAGAGGAGGGAGAGGAGAUUGAUAGAAAUUCCUUUCCUAAGCUUUUAGGUAAAGGUAUGAACGAAAUUUGUUGGUCUUGGGGUCCUAUUUAUAGUUUAGGUAACCUGCAGGCAAAGUCGGAUUUGAAUUAAUUAAAUAAUAGAUUUAAUCUCAAUUCAAAGCUAAUAUCAUAAAAGUCUUAUAUUUUGCCAUUAAAUUGGAAAAAUCCUUGAUUUUAAUUUUUUUGUUGACUGUGGACAUGAUAUUUUCAUGGAAUUAUCACUUAAGAGCAAAUACCCAGUGAUGAGCAGGUUACCUGUACUAUCUGGUCACCAGUAACCUAUUCCCUAGCCAUUAGCUUUAACAAACCAUCACUUGUUAAAAGAUGUCACGUAUUCGAGAAGGGUUUGACGCUGAGAAGGGUUUCACAGUCCCUAAUUUAGUUUCUUGGAUUUUUCAGAAGAAACUUUCAGAGCCCCCACAAAACUAUGUGAUGAUCCUUUUCUUAACAUAUUGUGUGAUGAAAACAUAUUAAGGAUGACUAUUGAUGGAAUGGUAGAUGAUAGAGACAAUCCUGGUGGCCAACAAAAUGAGCAUGCCCACUUAAAUGAGGACGAUGAAGAUGUUGGCGUCGAGUAUACGGUGCAUAAUCCCAAUGUUAAUUGGAAAGAGAUAAGGCCCCGAUUAGGAGAUUGUUAUGAACCCCCUGCUCAACUCAGGUUUGCUUUAACAAACAAUGCAGUCCAUGGAGGAUACCAGCUUAAUUUUGAAAAGGUUGAUAGAUUUAGGGUUAUAGCUAAGUGUGGUAGUCGAAGCAGUGACAAUAACAAAAAUGCAUGUCCAUUUAGGGGUGUUGUUGGAUGGAAGUACAAGUACAAUGAAAGAACAUUCCAGAUUAAAUAAUAUAAUGAAAUUCAUCUGUGUGCUAGGAACUAUCACUUUGGUUCCCUAGUUAAUAUCAAUUGUUUAGCCAAACACUACCUGAAAGAUGUAAUCAUGAAGUCCAAGAUGACAUUGUUAGAGAUGCAAGCAAGUAUGCUACAAAGGUUUUUAGUGAUUCUAUCUAUUAGGCAAUGCCAAAGAUCAAGGGCUACUGCAAUGGGGUGAUAGAAGGAAGUUAGAAGACCAUUAUGAUAGGGUUUGGGAUUAUAAAGCCGCAAUUAAGUUGACUAAUCCGAGUACAACUUGCUUAGUGGGGGUAGAAAGUAACCUGGGGUGUAACUAUUUCAAGAGGUUUUAUGUUGGCAUCAAAGCUUUCAGGGGCGGAUGGAACAGAGGCUGUAGAAGGGUGAUAGUACUAGAUGGUAGUUUCUUGAAGGGGUGGGUAAAGGGAUAGAUUUUAACUGAUAUUAGGAGAGAUGAAAACGAUCAUGUUCACCCAAUAGCAUGGGCAUUUGUGAAUGUUGAGAAUAAGGACAACUGGACCUGGUUCGUCGAGAAUUUGGUUGUUGAUUUGGAUCUUGAUGCUGGCAAUGGACUGGUUGUUAUCUCAGACCAACACAAGUUACAUACAACAUAUAUUAGUAUACAAUAUAUAUAUAUAUAUAUAUAUAUAUAUAUGUGUGUGUGUGUGUGUAUGUGUGUGUAACACUCAUAACGUUUACAUGUCCUGUGUUUGUUUGUUAAUUAUAGGAACUUCUACAGGCUGUGGCAAACCUAAUCCCCCCAUGUUCAGCACAGACAACGUGCUAGACACAUCUUUGCAAACUUCAGGAAGAAAUACAAUGUAACAUUCGAUUCCAGGUAUGUUCUUGUUUGGUCCUUAAAGUUGAUAAUUUUUUCAAUAAUGGUCCCUCAUACGUUGGGCGCACAUUUGGUACGCUUAGCGUACAUGUGUAGUUGGAGACGGGGAACUUAACCACGUAUGUUGGGCAUACAUGGUGUUCGCGAGGCAUACAUCAUCCAACACUCAACCCUAAUUUUUUGGGCAUAAGCCCAAUUUAAACAUCAUUAUGGCCUUUAGACACUUACUCUCAUUAGCAUCCACUGUUCAUUCUUCCCUUUGAAACCCUAUUUCACCCUCUUUGUGUGUUCUUCAGUUAUGUAGUGAUUUUGUAGCAUUUUAGUAUGUGUUCAAGAAGAAGGAACUUGGAGACCAAGCAUAUGUUGAGGUUUAGCUUCUAGAUCUAGAGUCUUCAUCAACUUUGGAAGCUUUUGAAGUGUGAUAUCUUCCGGUUUGGUAGUCAAGCAAUUAGUUACUUAUCAGCGGACUGAGGUGAGUUUUCUCACUGUAUUAAUGGUUCGAAGGCACCAAGGUCGGCCCAUUAUUUGUGAUGUAGAAUGUUAGUCAUAAUUGUGAUAUAUGUAUGAAAGACUAGGAUUUGGCCCCUGGCAAUUGUAUGAAAGACCAGGAAGUGGCCCCUAGAAUUUGUAUGAAAGACCAGGGUCUGACCCCUGGCAACUGUAAGGAAGACCGAUAUUUGGCCCCCGACAUGGAAUUACUUGUAAGACUAUGGUGUGGCCCAUAGCACUAAUUUAUUUAUGUUUUGUAUGUGGUACUCAUGGAAACUCACCAAGCUUUUUCUUACAGUUUGUAUUUAUGUUUUCAGGUACUUCCGGUACUAAGGGAAAGGGUCUGGUGUGAUGGCACAGCAUGAUGUAAUGGAUUUUGGAACAAUUUAAUGACUGUAUCUCUUGUUUAUAAAAAUGAAAAAAAAAAUUGGUUUUUUGGCUAUUACAAGUUGGUAUCAGAUCUUUGGUUUGAGGGAUUCGGGCACACUUUCGGGUGUACCAAAACUCAAACUAAGGAAAUGAUAAUCUUUUCAAAAUAAAAAUAAUUUGAAUUUUUGAAAAAGAUUCUUUUAAGUAAAAAGGGGAGUGCAAUGCGUGUAAUCAGUCGAGCUCAAGUACGUAUUUCCCAAGGUACCCGUACUUAUAUAUUGUGAUUAGUAUACCUUAUAUGUGAACUACAUGCUAGAUUAGGGCUAAGGAUACCUUCAUGAGUAAUAUGAUAGAAUUCCCUGAUUUGUGUAAUGCCUUAUAGCUCAAUAUAACUUGAUGUCAUGUAUUACUUGGAAUUGAUAUCAGCUCAGUUAUUUGCUAAGUGUAUGCUUUUAAAGUUGUAUAUGAUUAGGAUUGUAUAGCUCUAGAAUGAUUGAUUUAGCUUCAUUUCCUAUUCCUUGUUUGGUUGUGGACUUAGUCUAGAAUCUUCAUUCAACAGUCUAUGUGAUCCUAUUUUAUAUACCACUUGCAUGCAUAAGGCAACCAGUGGUGUUGAUUGAGGUUCUUGGUAUUGCUAGUGGUAAGUUCCUAGAAGAGUCUACGAUAUUUAUGUUGUGUAGCAUAGGUUUGUUCUUGGUUAUAGUUUGGUAACUUAGAGGAAUCUGAAUUUACCUUGUAAAGGUACAUGUAGGUGUAGAAAGUAGUAUUGGGCCCAUACUACUAGAAGCAUGGGACCGGUACCUGAGACAGGUGUAGAUCUAGGGAUCCUAAGGAUACCUGUGUGUUGCGAGUUUCCCUCGAGUGUUUGCUGAUUGUUUAUAUCUUGUGUUUUAGUUUGAUGAUGGUGGUCACUCGUUUGGCAACAGGGGUUUCUAGUUUUGGCUCUGGAUCGGGUUCAGGUUCUGGCUCUGGCUCAGAACCGAUUGAUGAGAGGUAGAGUGAGCUCAUUGUAGAUGAGGUUACUCGCAGUAUUCUUGACGCCACCCCCAUGAUUUUCUAUACCAUCAAGCAGGGGAUUGUGUAGCUCAUAGAGGAGCAGUUCAGGUAUUUUCGAUCCGAGAUCGUUUCGGGUCUGAUUGGGACUUGGCCUCCCUCAUUCUAGGAGUUCAAGGCGUGUGGAGCGCCUGAGUUCAUUGGGGCUAAGCACCCGAUAACUAGACAUUACUGGCUCGCUGACAUGGAGAAUGCACAGCGUACGAGUUAUUUCCCUGAGGGGGAAAAGGUGGGUUUCGCGUCCUACUUACUGAGGGACAAAGCACGGGACUGGUAGGAAGAGGUUACUCGAGCAGUAGGUUUUGCAGCAGUGGCUGUGAUGACAUAAGAGGACUUCGUUGAGAGGUUUCAAAGGGAGUUUGCACAAGACUAUAGAGACUGUGGCGGAGAUUACCGCCAAAUUCAGGGAGAGAGCCUACUGGUCCCGUAAUAAAUUAUGGAUGAGGACAUGAGGAAGAAGAGAUAUUAUGAUAUGUUAACGGGUGAUAUUAGGGAUUUUAUGAGCUUCUCGAGGUGCAAGACCCCGAAUGAUAUGGUCAAUACGGGUGAUAUUAGGGAUUUUGUGAGCGGGAGAUUGAGUUGGAGCUCCGGACUAAGUGAAAUUCGGAGAAGGUUCAGUUAGUUGUGGGUCAAGAUAAGAGACCCAAUACCUUUGAUACCCACACUAGAGGCCAACAGGGUCAGGGACGUUGUACCAUGUGUGGCAAGCCGCACAGUGGAGCUUUUCGAUCAGCAGGUUCAUGAUGUUUUAGCUAUAUCUAGUCGGGUCAUGUGAGCAGGGAUUGCUCCAAGAAGGCUCUAAUUUGCUUUCAUGCAAUCAGAUCGGCCAUAAAAAUGCUGAUUGUCCAAGAUUUUCCGGAGGAGCAGUGGUGGCACCAGCACCAGCCACCUUGAGGAUUACCAAUGGCUGCCAGAGGCUCAUGUAGUGAAGAGCAGGGCUUUUCAGCUGACCACCGAUGUUGCAUGUUCAGCAUCGGAUGUAGUUACUGGUAUAUGUUAUAACCCUAUCUUUUAUAUAUUUCCUUUUUUAUGCUUAUAUUUAUUAUGGUCUUGUAAAGGGACCUUUUUGGUCAACGGGUUGUCUGCUCAUGUUCUGUUUGAUUUAGGGCUACCCAGUCCUUCGUAUCUCUUGCACUCAGCAAGAAGUUUCGAGACAUUCCAGGGACUUUAGGUUCCCCUCUGGAGGUAGAGAUUGUGGAUGACCCUACCGUGAGUGCUUUGAGGUUUUUCUGGGGGUGUGUCCUGGACAUGUUUAGCGAGCGGUUCUCUAUUGAUUUGGUGUUGAUCCCCAUGAGAGGAUCGAAGUUUAUCAUUCGAAUGGAUUGGUUAGGCCCCAAUGGGGUUGUGAUUGAUUGUGAGCAGCAGCUAGUAAGAGUUCGAACCCUGAGUGGGGGAGAACUGGUUGUUACUAGCGAGAGAUCUUCGCAAGGGCCAACUCUCUGUUUAGCUGCGAGGGCCAGGAGAUAUCUGUAACAGGAUUGUUUUGGGUUCUUAGCCUAUGUUUCUGAUACACGGGUUAAGGCCACGAUGGAGUUGAGAAGGGUACCCAUUGUGCAGGAUUUUCUAGAUGUUUUCCCCAAGGAUUUGCCUGGAGUGCCUCCUAAGAGGCAGGUUGAGUUUUGGAUUGAUUUGGUACCUAGUGUGGCUCUGAUAGCCAAGGCGUCGUAUCGCCUGGCACCACCAGAGAUGUAUGAGUUGUCUACGCAGUUGCAGGAGUUGCUAGACAAGGGUUUUAUUCAUCUGAGCAGUUCUCCGUGGGGAGCACCAAUCCUAUUUGUGAAUAAUAAAGACAUUUCCCACAUGAUGUGAAUUGAUUAUCGGAAGUUGAAUAAGCUAACAAUGAACAACCGUUCCCACUCCUGAGGAUCGAUGAUUUGUUUGAUCAACUCCAUGGUGCAUCUUGGUUUUCCAAGAUUGAUUAGCGAUCAAGGUACCACCAAAUGUGGCAGCAGAGAUGGAUGGAUUUGGUAAAGUAUUAUGAUUGCGAUAUCCUAUACCACCCUGGGAAAGCCAAUGUGGUGGCCGAUACUUUGAGCCGUAAGGCGGCAAGUAAUCCUAUCAGAAAUGUUUGCUUAAGAAUGGUUGUCAUCUUACCUCUAUCAGAUUUGAUGAAGGAAUUUGAAGUUGAGGGUAUGAAAAGGAGAAUUGGAAGGUCGAGCGAAUCAUGGGGAAAAUUCCCUUGUUUGUUAAGGACAGUCGUGGAUUGUUGACUGAGUGUGGUAUAAUUGGCUCCCGACACGAGGUGAAGCGAGACAGAUGGUACUAGAAGAGGUCUAUAGGUCAAAGCUCUCUAUCCAUCCAUGGGCCACAAAGAUGUACAGGGAUUUGAGGAUGACUUAUUGGUGGCCCUGUAUGAAAAGGGAGGUAGCUUGGUUUGUUAAGCGGUGCCUGACUUGCAAGAAAGUGAAGGCCGAGCACCAGAGACCCUACAACAAGGUACAGCCAUUACCCAUUCCCAUGUGGAAAUAGGAGGAGAUCACUAUGGAUUUCAUCACAAAAUUUCCUAGGACAACACAUAGUGUUGAUUCUAUCUGGGUCAUCAUGGACAAACUAACCAAGAGUGCACAUUUCAUUCUGAUUACAGAGAGCAUAUCUGCAGUAACGCUAGCUAAUAUUUAUGUCCGGGAAGUGGUGGUUCGGCACGGGGUUCCAGUUUCAGUGGUCACGAACUGAGAUGUUCAUUCCACCUCCAGGUUUUGGAGGAAGUUUCAUGAGGAGUUAGGUACUCAGUUGCAUUUUAGUACUGCAUAUCACCCUCAGACCGAUGGCCAGAGCGAGCGAGUGAUCCAUACACUCGAGGAUAUGCUUCAGGCUUAUGUGUUGGAUUUUUUUUUUUUUAGGGGGGGGGGUACCUACCUUCCACUGGAUGAGUUCUCCUACAACAAUAGGUAUCAUGCUAGUAUUGACCGACCACGAUUUGAAAUGUUGUAUGGGAGGAGAUGCAAGGCCCCGGUUUGUUGGGGUAAGGUUGGUCAUCAGGUCAUGGGAAACAUUGAGGUAGUGCUUAAGACCACAUAAUUGAUUCAUCAGGUGCGUGAAUGGUUGCGGGUCGUGCAGAGUCAACAUAAGAUUUAUACCGAUCAACGUCAUUUGGACAUUGAGUUUCAGGUAGGAGACUUCGUGCUGCUGAAGGUGUCACCUUCGAAAGGUAUCAUCCAGUUUUGGAAGCAGGAAAAGUUGGGCCCUUGGUUUAUUGGUCCUGUCAUGAUUACUGCCCGAGUGGGAACGGUUGCAUACAGGUUGGACCUGCCUAAGGAGCUCAAUCAGAUCCAUAACACUUUCCAAAUGUCUCAGUUGCGGAAGUGUGUAGCUAAUAAUUCAGCAGUGAUUUCGGUGGAUGAUAUUCAGGUUGAUGACCGCCUGAAUUACAUGGAUAAGUCGAUUGCUAUCCUCGCCAACAAAAUCAAGAUACUCCAUAAUAAGGUGGUGAAUCUAGUGAAGGUGCAAUGGCUGCACCUAAAUGGCUCUUAGUGGACAUGGGAGAUGGAGGACGAGCUGACGGAGCACUACCCUGACUUGUUUGCAUCAACGGAAUUCAAGGAUGAAGUCUAAUUCAAGUGAGUAAGAUUUGUAACAUUUGAUUCCAGGUAUGUUCUUUUUUGUUCCUUAAUGUUGAUAAUUUUUGCAAGAAUGGUCCCUCGUACGUUGGGUGCGCAUUUGGUACACUUAACAUGCAUGUGCGGUUGGUGAUGGGGAACCUAACCACAUACGUUUGGCAUGUAUGUUGGGUGUACAGUAAGCAAGACCAAACCCUAAUUUUUAGGGCAUGAGCACUAUUUAAACGUCAUUAUGGCCUUUAGACACUUACUCUGAUCAACCUCCACUAUUCAUUUGUCCGUUUAAAACCCUAGUUCACCCACUUUGAGUGUUCUUGUGCUUUAAAGUGAUUUUGUGGCAUUUUAGUGUGUGUUCAAGAAUACGGAACCUAGAGACCAAUAAUUUGUUAAGUUUGAGCUUCUAGAUCUAGAGUCUUCAUCAACUUUAGAACCUUUUGAAGUGUAGGAUCCUCCGGUUCGGUAGCUGAGCAUUUAGUUAUUUAUCAGUGGACUAAGGUGAGUUUUCUCAUAGUAUCAAUGGGUUAAAGGCAUCAAGGUCGUCCCAUUAUUCGUUAUGUAGAAUUCUAUUCAUAAUUGUGAUAUGUGUAUGAACGAACAGGAUUUGGCCCCUGGCAAUUGUAUGAAAGACCAAGAUGUAGCCCCUGGUAUUUGCAUGAAAGACCAGUGUCUGGUCCCUGGAAAUUGUAAGGAAGAUCGGGAUUUGGCCCCCAGCAGGGAAUUACUUGUAAGACUAUGGUCUGGCCCAUUGUACUAAUUUAUUUAUGUUUGGUAUGUGGUACUUGGGUAAACACACUAAGCUUUUGCUUACAGUUUGUAUUUAUGUUUUUAGAUACUUCUGGUACUAAGGGAAAGGUCCCGACGUGAUGGCACAGCAUACUCCCCUCACUAUUUUCCGCACUUAUUUAUAUUAUUACUCUGAUGAUUGGAAAUAGUUAUUAUGUAAUGGAUUUUGGAACAAUUUAAUGACUGAAUCUCUUAUUUAAAAAAAAUGAAAACAUUUAUCCAGGUUGUUGGGAUGCUACAUACACAAGACUGGAGCUGAAGAAUUUUUUUUUGGGAAGCUGUUAUGUGUACAGUGAAAGGGGACCUUCUUGCUACAAUGGAGAAGAUAAAUAAGAUAAUAGAAAUAGGAUACAACUAUCUUAUGGAAAGGAAACCUAUAACCUGGUGCAAAGCCUUCUUUUCUCAUGGGUAUGCUUAUGAAGCAGUAGAGAAUGGAGUCUCAAAAUUUUUCAAUGGCAUAAUCAAAGAAAUAAGGAAUGAGCCUCUACUUACAAUGCUUAAGGAAAUAAGGAUUCUCCUUAUGAAAAGUUUUUAUCAUCAAGGUCAAGAGGUACCUAAAUGGAGGGGUAUGAGUUAAUGUUAGUUUUUACGGGCUUGUAUCGAUAUGUAUUAUGUAUUUAUUGUUUAUGUGUAUAAUUUGUUUUUUUUGUAGUUUGUGGAUAGUGUUGCCAAAUGGAGGUGAUGUGUUGAAGACAAGGUAUGACUAUAUUUGAAACAAGGUGGAUUUCGCUACUCACACUUGCACCUGUAACUUGUGGAUAUUUGUCACACCCCCAAACCAGAACGGCGGAAUCGUUUGAGGGUGGAUGACUUCAUGUACAAUAUCAUAACAAUGUAAAGUAGUAAACAAGCAACAACAUCGUCCAUUGCAUUAAUAGUAAUAGUUUAAUAUAUGUGUGUUCUUUCAUAGUAAUAAGACAUUACAACAAGUAAUCAAAAUAAAAGACGAGUCUUGACUGUUCCGUCUUCGCAAAACCUGGUCAUCGUACAUGUCUACUGGUGACCUGCGAAUACAAGUUAUUUUGAAAGUGUAGGUCAGCAUUUAAGCUGGUGAGUUCAUAAGUAUUUAAUGUCAUUGUUUGUAUAAGUAUGAUGAAAACGUUUGAAAUUGUUCAAUGUAAUUGUUUGUAUAUGUUUUGAAAACUCCUAGAAAAUCCCAUAUUUUCUACUUGUAUAAAAGUAGCCUUUUAUCGAGGCCUGACUAUUUUUGAAUAUUUGUUUCUAAAAGUCCAACAUUUAUCCAUAAGUGUGUGGUAGUUUAAAAGUUCCAAAACUAUAACACAAUGAUGUUUUUCAUGCCUAAAUAAUAGAUUUAUGUAUGUAUAAAAUCGCCAAGGCACUUGAUGACUCUGUAAACCAAUAUAUUUUUAAUACUCCAUGUGGGUCUUUUGUUUAAGUAAAACUGGUUAAAAGGGUGUUUAUCCCAAAUUGGUAACAUGCUAAUAAUAUCCCAUGGUAUAGUUAUUACCCCCUGAGCAUGAUUGAGUUAAAUGUAUAUUAGUACGUACAAGAGUUGUUUCCGCGGUUUGUAAGUUUCUCAUAACCAUACUAGACGUAGUACUAAUGUCGACAUUAUUCACCUUAGACCUACCGGUCUAACUGGAGGUUACAGUUUAGGUGCGGGUUCGUCAAACCCGUAUGGAUCUAUAAAAAAAUUCACGCUCUCCCUCCAGGAGACUCUGGUUAAAGAUGGGGACUUUCGUUUUGGUACUAACAAAGCCAUAUGUCUCACAUGAUUGCUAACAACAAGUUCACGAGUAAUAUGAUGAAAUACCUUUUGUAUGAAAAGAUUAUCAUUGUUAAGAAGAAUGCAUACUUGUAAAUAAAACGUUGGUAUAGUUGGAUCCGGAAGUGUUCUUAUACUAUAGUAUUUUAGUAUGUUCUCUUUAUCAUAGUAUAUUAGUAUGUUCUUUUGUCAUAGUGUUCUAUGUUAUAGUAUUUGUAUACGAUAGUAUUCUCCUAAACUAUACCUAUUAUAGUUUACUAGUAGGUUCCGUUAUAGUAUUUGAAGAAAUGAAUGUACACCUUUGCUACUCAAAGGUAUUGAACUGAUUGAAUAGUACUUUUAUAUCAACAUAUGUAUACAUAAUAUAUAAGUUUAAAAGGAAAUUUCGUAACACGUUUGAAUGAGUCUAAUAAUAAAUACUGAUGACUUGAUGUCAGUGUAUACAACGAUUUAAAAAGUAGUUUGUUUGAUAAGACAAUGUAAAGUAAAAGUAAUCCCUUGUUUGAAAACACAGUUAUAAAUCGCAUGUGAUUGAUUAUAUAACAAAGAGUAUAACAAAAGAUUUAUGUUUUUCACACGAUGAUAACUGUGUGUUUACUUGUAUCCCCCCCCCCCCCUAAAGUGUAUAAAAUGCAUUUAUAAAACAUUUGAAAGUAUAGUUAUAGGGUAUGAACUCACUUGAUAAGUGGUGAAUCGAGCAGCGUUUCGUUUCCAAGAAGGAUCGUUCUUGACGUAACCACGAGUCUUGGGUGAACAAACGAGCUUCACACGAGCAGUACUUCGACUGGAAAGAAGUUAGUUUCUCGGGAGAUUCGGAGCGUUGGGACUCACGUCGUGUGUGAGAGGUGUUACCGGGGCUUCGGGGUGGUUUAGAAGGGUUUAAUAGCGUGUAGAAGUAGGAGAGAGGAUGGGGUUGAGCAACCAAACUCGAAAGGCUUAGAUUUCUUUAUAUAGUCACAAUUUUGACUCUCACCUCGUGAGUUUUUCAUAACUCACGUCGUGAGUUUGGUCCCAAAUCAUCAUGGCAUGCGUCACUCAUUAACUUGCUCUGGAAGGGUCAGUCUGGCAGCUCACCUCGUGAGUUUUUUUGUUCACCUCGUGAGUCACCUGACAGCAUGGGGUUUUGGACCCCAAACUUGUAAAAUCCGUAACUUUUGCGUACGGGCUCCGUUUUCGACGUUCUUUAUAUGCACGUGUAGCUGAAAAUAUGCUCUACAACUCUCGUUUAGACUCCAUUGGCAAAUUUUGAAUUUAUUUUUAAUUAAUUAUUUUUAAUGGGCCGGGACUAGAAAAGUUCGUUAAAAAUCCAUAACUCCUUCAUCUGAUGUCCGUUUUCGUCAGACUUUUCACCGUUGCACUACUAUUGUUGAUGUCUUUGAUUCUUAUUUAGGUUGUAUCUGCCAAAAAUCUCUCGAUCUCUAUUUCGAGUUUUUAGCUGUCUAUUGCUAUAUCAGGAUCUUGGAAAAAUCAUAACUUUCUCAUACGAAGUCAGAUUUUGACGUUCUUUGUACGUACGUUUACGGUUUAAUGAUAUCUACAACUUUCAUUUAGAUACUUAAAGCUAAAAACUAUUGUAUCGAAACAUCGUGUUUUUACGUCUAUCCGUAUUGUCGGUUUUGUCGGGAAUCUUAGAAUGGUUAUAACUUCUUCGUUAUAACUCGGAUUUUAGUGUUCUUUAUAUGUACGAAAAACUUGAUACGAUUCCUACCACUUUAUUUAACCCAAAUAAGAUUUUAAUUUUGACCUAAAUUUGACUAGUGUUACAUUAUAUUGUCUCGAAAUAUCGGGUUGUCACAAUAUUUUCCAGAAUACCAUGUGUUCAUAGUCAAGGUGCAAUCAACUUCAUCCACAAAGAUCCAAUUUAGUUCAUUUCUUCUUGGUUCCAUAAGGACAAGUAUGUUGCAACAUACAUGGAGAACAUACUACCUGUAGGUGGACGCAACUUGUAGCCAAGAACUGAGUUUAUUAAACCAUUACCACCCCCAGUCAGAAGGAUGCUUGGAAACCCAAACUAAAGAUAAUGAAUCAUGCAUUUGAAUCACAACAUGCCAAAUACCCCUCAGAAAGGUUAAAGGUGCCUAGGACUGUGAGGUAUGGAAAGUGCCAAGAGCUUUGACAUAAUAAGAUUUCAUGCACAAAUGAUGAGGUAACUAAGCCCCUGUCCAAAAAAAGGAAGAUUGGAAGACCUAGGAAAGAUAAGGGAGGCUAACCUACAUUUGACCAAUUCCCUCCAGUUAGGCCUGCUAUACGAAGAAAGGAUGGUGAUCCUCCUGAUUCUGAAUCUAGUGGUCAAGAUGGUGCUCCUCCUGUUUCUGAAUCUGAUGAUCGAGAUGGUGGUCUUGCUAUUACUCUUAUGAAAAGGACUAAGAUGAUGACAAAGAGAGGAGGGAAAACUAAGGUUGCUUUACCAAGGCACAAAACACCAAAGAGAGCCUAUGGGGCUUUUAAUGGCCUUUUCACCUAUACACCUACUGGUAAGCACCCUAUGAGUCAAGAAAAAGAGGAUGUUUCGCUAAGAUUUGAUGAGGCUUUUCAUGACCUUUUCACCCAUACACCUAAUGGUAAGCAACCUAUGAGUCUUUUGGGUAAGAAAUAUGGUUUAUACUUCGCUUUUCUUAGAUAUUUUAGUUUUCGGUCUAAGGUCGAAAACUCCUUGGGUUUAUUUGUAGCUUGGACCGAAAACCAAUGUGUUUUUGGUCUAGCAUUUGGGUUUGGGCUUUGGGUUUUGUCUAUAGGUAUAAAUAGGGUGGAGGAGGAGCGUUUUAUAAGUCUACACUAAGGAUGGGCGUUUUUGGUUAAGGGGGCAUUAUUGUUACAUUUUGGAGUGCUAUAGAGAGAAAGUUAGAGAGAGAGCUAGUGUGUGUGAAUCUUGUGUAAGGAUUAUCAUUCAUAUCAUCAAUACAUCAUAGAUUCAUCAAGUUCUUCUUCUGCUCAGUUCUAUCCUGCAUCAUCCACUUAAUUGGGAUUCCGUACCAUCAAGUGGAUCGGAUUGAUACUUCAAGCGAAUUUGGGGACUUAUAGUUGGUAUCACUACAUGGAUUGUAUCAAUCUCUUUGGAAAGAUCUGAAGCAUUUUUUAAAUUUUGCUUGAACGAUCAUACGCUUUUGGAUAGGUUUUAAAAAAAUAUUGGGGGUUUGUUCUUCGUGUUUUUCAUAAAAAUGAGUUUUUGAUCGAGUUUUGGAGCUACAAAGGUGAAAAAAUCGUGUUUUUUGAUGUAAAUUUGCAUGAUCCAGCGGCCAUUUAUGCACAGCAGGUUGCAUGUCCGAGGUCUGGAAACUCAUUUUGCGGUCAACAGCAUUUACAGCCAAAGUGUUUACAACCGAAAUCCGUUUUUGGCUUCGGACUUUUUCGGCUUCAAACAUCACGCACGUGUUCGAUCAGCAAUUCUAGCAAGUGUUCAGUCCAGUCCUCGCAGGUCAGCAGCCUCGUUUGCGGUCAGCACUCUUGUUCAACAACGAAUAUAUAAAAAUUUUGGUGGAGCAAGGAUAGAACCUAGGUCUCUCACACAUACAACCUACGCCCUUACCAAUCCGUCCAGCAAGCCACAUGUAAUACAUCUUCCCGAUUUAGUUCAAGUAGCUUCGUUUUUUUCGGUUCUAAUUUCGGAUUUUUGUCAAUAUUGGCCCAAAAAUCAAGUUUUUCAAAAUUUGAAGUUUCAUUUUUGGCCAUAAACAUUUGACUUUUAAUUUUUGACUAUCAUUUUUUACUUUUGACCUUAAAAUUUGACUUUGACUUUCAAGUUUGACCUUUGACUGUAAACUUUCACUUUUUUGUUUUAUUUUAAAGUUUAACAUAUAGCUUUUCGGUUUGACUUUUAAGUUUGAAUUUUUUAGUUUAACUUUUAAGUUUGACUUUUUUUAACUUGAAUUUAAGGUUGACUUUUGAGGUUUAUAGUCAAAGGGCAUUUUUGGUAAACAAUGAGUUCCGUAAACAUCCUGGUCAAUGAAGUUUCAUGCUCUCAAUCUUGUGAAGCUAUGAUUAAAUUUCUUCAUGAUCAAAUCGAUUUAUUAAAAAGAGGAAAUGAAGACCUUAAAUAUGAACGUUAUACUCUUAGGAAAGGUCAAAAACCCUUAAAAGCACAACUAUAGGCCAAAACCAAGGAUUUUGGAAAACUUCAAGUAGAAUACAGUAACAAAUGUGUGAAUUAUGAUUAUGUUAAGGAACAGCUUGCUAACUUGACUACCGAACUUGAUGCAUUAAAAGCUAAAUAUAAAGAUGUUGAAUUCAACUUUAAGAAAUUUGAUGUGCCUAGUGAGGUAGUUGCGUCCAUGAUAGAGAAACAAUUAACAUUUAAAGAUAAUCAAACUUAGGGUUUAGGGUAUCAUAGUGUUCCUCCUCCUUUCAAUGACAACUAUAACUCACCCCUUGAGAUCAACGAGAAAGAAAUACCUAUUUAGUAUGGCCAAACCCCUGUACCAGCUUCAGUUAAGACUGAACAAUCUAGGCCAACUGAGAAUAUUAAGGAGAACGUUUUUGAUGAUUCUACUUCUUGUGUAGGUAAAGUAGUGGAAGAUAAGAACAAGGAGAACACUAUUGAACAAACAAAUGACUCCUUGAACUUUAAAUUUGUUGCUUCUAAUCAACCUGUUUUUGUUAAGUACAUGCCACCAAUUCAAGCUAAACAGAGUGACUGUUGCAAGUGUGCUUGUGGGAACAACCAGAGACAAGGCAAGGGCAUGCUACCAGGGGCAAUCAGAAACAAUUCCUACAUGAAGAAAAAUUUGUGUUUUCACUGUGGAACACCUGGACACAUUUUAAAAAUGUUUUUGUUUUAUCUAAUAAAUGAGUGGCUAGGAUUGCGUCUCACGGUCUCACAAAAUUAGGUCGUCUGACAUGAACCUAACCCUAUAUACAUAUAUAUAUAUAUAUAUAUAUANUAUAUAUAUAUAUAUAUAUAUAUAUAUAUGGAAAGUAUAACAUAUGUAUGAGUUUUAAUUAAUUAUCUUUUUUAAACGGUACAAUUACAAAACAAAAAAACAUAUUUAAAAUAUUUAAUUAAAUAUUUUCAACAUCACCCUAUAUAACAUAUGAUCAAUAUACAAUAUACAACGAUUGUAUUACAAUAAUCCAAAAACGAAGAAAAUAUAAAAACAAAUUAGUAUAACAAACUUAGAAAUUAAAAGCUCUAAUAUAAUAGCAUAUCUCCAAAAGUGGUCAUAAGACCUCAACCCAACACAAAAACCUUUUAAUUUGUUUUCUUUCUGAAAUUUGUAUAUGAUUUAUAUGCAUGUCUUCCCAAAAGAUUGGUCUUUUAUAGUAAACUUUUUACUAAAUGCUAAUUAAACAUAAUAUAAGUUAUAAAACUUUUGGGUGUUAAAUCAUAAUUAAGAAAACUUUUGAGUUGCAUUAGUUAAAAAAUGGGGUUUCAAAUGAAUGUGGUUGGAGGAAGUUAAAAAUAGGGUUUCAAAUGCAUUACAUUCAAGAAAAAUGUUACAUUUAUAAGUAUGUAUGAUGAUAUAGAUAUAGAUAUAGAUAUCAAUAUUGAUAGAUAUAGAUGAUAAUUCUGAUAGGGAUCCUUUUAAAGGAUUUGCAAGCCUUUCUCCAUUUGAAAAAAAAAAGGCUAAGAGUUCUUUGGCAAGAUCGAACUUUUAAGACUUUCAAUUUUUAAUAGACUAUGAAUUUUUUAAGAUCAGAAUUGUUUUGAAGUCAAAGAGGUAGUGGGAAGGAAAUGGAGGUGAUCAUUUGAAAUAGAAAUAACAUAGAGAAAAUGUUUGCUAAAAAAUAAAGAAUUUUUGUAACACACUUCAGAACUUUUAUGAAGUUAGAGAGGCGUUGGCAAGGAAAUGGAAGCGAUCGUGUGAAAUAGAAAUAGAAAAGAGAAAAUGUUUGCAAAAAAUUUAAAAUAUUUCACCAGCAUAUUCUGCUUUUUAUUCUGAUAUAACUAUUUUUCUUAAAAACUAAGAAAUUUUUGAACAACUAAAAGACAAAAAUAAAAAAAAUUUAACUCUCUAAAAUUAAAAAAUUAAAAGUUUGCUCUUAAUUGAAAAUUUAAAAUGAUAUUAAAUCGGCAUAAGUUGGCUUUUAAUAUGUGCUUAGUUGGUAUUCUUAGGGGUGUUUGGAUUAGCUUUUUAGCUUAUUGGUUAUAGCUUAUUUGUGGUGGGAAUAAGCAAUAAGCAAUAAGCAUGGGGAGUGAUGCUUAUUAAAAUUAUCUUAUUUAGCUUAUUAAGUUGGAUUUUAUCCAAACACUCAAAUUAGCUUAUUGUGGGAAUAAGCAAUAAGCACCACUUUUUUCCUAUCCCAACACCCCCUUAAUGUCAUAUCUUACAUUAUUGUUUGCUCCCUUCUACAACAUUUUACAAAAAGAUUAUCAACUAUUUGUUUUCAAAUUUUUAGAUUCCAUUGAAAAUAGAGAAAAUGACACAUUGAUCCUAAUAAAUAUUGCACAUUUGUUUAUUGAGUCCUUGAGUUAUUUCUAUGAUGUAUGAGGUAACAAACUUGUUAGUAACUUGUCAAUUUAGUCAUUAGACCUCCUGUAACCGAUUAAUAUCUCCACAUAAUUAAAUUAAAUGCCACAUAAUAAUCUAGUUGAAAAACAUCAUUGACUUCUUUCUGGGAUUUCAUCUAACGGUUUAUUUGCAUAGUUCAUCCAUGAUAUGGAGUAGGGUGAGCAUUUGGAUCGGACCGGACCGGACCAGACCAUUUUUUUGGACCCCCGGGCCGGUUCUCGGUUCUAGGAAUCCAUCCCGGUCUGGUCCGGUUUUUUUCCCGGUCUGGUCCGGUUUUUACCGGGUUUAGAACUGGUUGGACCCGGUUUAAAAAAAAAUUGUAAUUUGUGAAUUUUUUUAAACAACCAUAACACAUUCGUUUUAAGUCGGAUUGACACACGGUUUUUUCUAAUGUUUAAUUUAAAGUUUGUAGAUUAAUUUAGACUAUAAUUUUAUUGAUUUUGGUAUUAUAUUCAAUGAGUUACAGUCUCUCAAAGUUGAGCUAUCAAAGCUGAAAAAUUUCAGCUUUUCAGCAACAUUUUUAAAACUUUGUAAUCUAUGAAAAUUUUUAAACAGCCAUAACUCAUUCGUUUUAAGUCGGAUAGACACGCUGUUUUUUUUCAAAAGUUUAAUUUACAGUUUGUAGAUGAAUUUAGACUAUAAUUUUUUUGAUUUUGGUAUUAUAUUCAAUGAGUUACAGUCUUUCAAAGUUGAGCUAUCAAAACUAAAAAAAUUCAGUUUUUCAGCAAGAUUUUUAAAAUUUUGUAAUCUGUGAAACUUUUUAAACAAUCAUAACUCAUUCGUUUUAAGUCGGAUUGACCGGCGGUUUUUUCCAACAUUUAGUUUACAAUUUGUAGAUGAAUUUAGACUAUAAUUUUGUUGAUUUUGGUAUUAUAUUCAGUGAGUUACAAUCCUUCAAAGUUAAGCUAUCAAAACUGAAAUAUUUCAACUUUUUAACUAUUAUUUUAGACUAUAAUUAUGAAUUUUAUGUAUCUUUGAAAGAUAAAUCAUAUGAAAGGGAUCAUGGUGAACUUGAUUUAUAUGUUAGUUGCUUUUAUUUGGAAAAUUAAUUUUGCAAGUUAUAAUAUUCUAACAUCAAGGUAGAUUAGUUAUGCAUGAAACGGAAAUGUAAUCAUUUUUACAAGUUAUAUCGUAUCAAACUCAAUAACAUAUUCGUUUUAACGAGUUCUAUCAAACCCAAAAACAUAUUCUAACGACUUGUACUCUAUGCAUGAAACGAAAACGUAAUCAUUUUUACAAGUUAUAUCGUAUCAAACCCAAUAACAUAUUCGUUUUAAUGAGUUCUAUCAAACCCAAAAACAUAUUUUAACGACUUGUACUCUAUGCAAUUAAAGUUGUACCGGUCCAAGCGGGUCCAAGAACCGGAAAACCCGGACCUGGACCCGGACACGGACACGACUCAUCGAUCCGGUCCACGGUCCACAAUAUUAUCCAUAACCGGUCCGAUCCAAGAGCCGGUCUGGUCCGGUUCGGUACAAAUGCUCACCCCUAAUAUGGAGUGACUUGAAUCAUCACUAAUUCAGCGUAGAAGUACACCAUGUGUUCCAUUUGUUCCUAUUCCAUUCCAAAUAUCAUAAUCAUAAUCAGAACUAAAGGGUUAAAUAUCUAAGAAUCAUAAUUAAACACUCAUGUUAAUCUUCGGUGGGGUUGUGGCGACUUUGAUGAACCGAAUGAGAAACACAUACGGCGUCGGAAUGAAUAAAUUCCAUUCUAAUCGACCUAGAAUCCGCUUUUCCAUCACUAAACAUGUUGAUGUCCGUAAGCUCUAUCAGAUAUUUGAACAAAAUCGUUGACUUCCGGAGCCUAUAUUUCUUCAAUUUUGAUACAAUAAGCAUUGCACUCACUCAGACACACUCUAAUUCUCUUCUAGCAACAGUUAAAACUUCAUACAUCAAAAACAUAUAUGUAUCCAUUGUGAGUUGGUGGAAUCUGUAUCCACUAUAAUUCUCUCAUUGUUGGUAUCUUGAGCAUCACUGUCGAAGAUAUUCGUUUGUUUUGGUUUGUAGUUAAGGCAACUAUAAUUCUCUCAUUGUUGAUAUCUUGAGCAUCAAUGUCGAAGAUAUUCGUUUUUUUGGUUUGUAGUUAAGGCAACAGACAGCUUUGCUCUGGCAGUUAGUGCUGAAGUGAGUGACAAUUGAGGGUCUUUGUUUUGAGAAGAUGAAAAAGAUCCUGAUUUCUUCUCUUCUUGGUUGUCCGGACUGAUUUCGAUUACAAUUGCAUUUUCUGGCACCGAUGGUGGUUUUGGUUUGGAUGUGGCCUUCUUCUUGGCUGAUUUGACUGACAUUGGUUUCUAUAAUUAAGAUUCAGGAAGAUGAAUUGUUAAUGAAAAAAGAUUUGAUGAAAAGUUUAUGUGAAUAAUCGAUUAAAAAAAUUGGAGAAAACUUUCACCUUUUUGUUUUCAGCUGCGUCUUGUUGGGAGAAUUGAGAGACGAGGAGGAGGAGGAGGAAGAUUUUGACUUUUCAAAGUCAUUGUUAAUAGAAAAUAGGUUAAUGUCUAUGUGGCAAAUGGGUAACCGGAUUACCUUUUUCAUUUUGUCCAAAGUGAUCAAAUUGACCCGAACAAAACGAAUUUAAUGGUCUAGAAAGCACGGAAAUACUUAAGGGGCUGAAUUGACAAAUAUACAAAACAUCAGAGGGCGAAAUUGUCAUUUUCCUUUCAAAAUAAUAUUGGAAAACUAAUACGACUGUUGUGCAUGUUUAUGUAAAGUAGUUGUUGAUAUUUUCUUGUACUUCUUAUCUAUUCAAGUUUAUCAAAGUUAUAAUCACAUAGAAGAUUUUAUUCGAACAUAUUUCGAAUAGUUUAUAAGAUAAUAUACAAAUUUUAAAUUUUAUAACUCGAAACGUAUAAAUCAGUACAAAUGAGUUAAAUAUUUAUUACUUUAUAUGAAGUUUAUGGUGCACCGCACAUAUGGAAAGUAGUUGGGUAUGGUUGGAGGUGAUACGAAAUCCAUCCACACCAAUCUUGCCAUGCAACAAAGACAUGACUUAAUGGACAAAUAAAAUAUCCCAAUUUUCAAACCUAAAUCAUCUGUGAUAUUGUCAGGCUGACCCACGGUGGCACCGUCAUCAAUGGUGGAGGAGCCGCCGUCUAUUAAUAAUACUUAAUUAAUAAGCCCUCUUCCACUCGUUCUUUUACUUAAAAGAAAACAAACUUUGUGUGAAUAAUCACAAGAAUAAAUAAAGAAAAUAUACAACAAAUAAAUAAUAUAUGAGUUUAAUUAUAUCAAGUUUUAAGAAUAUAACUAUGCUUUCAAAGACAAAAUGAGAUAUAGACAUUGAAUAGAAGUCGUUGACUAAACAUUGCAAUCGAACUUAAUCCCUAUAUGACAAAUGGCACUUCGCUUUUAUAACUAUUUUGGGAUUAAUUUAUAUUUGCUUUUAACAAGUUACUAUAAAAAAUGGUAUUUUAUCAUUACUCAUUUUUAGACAAAACCGUAAACAUGAGUGUGGUAUAUUAAAAAUUAUCACUUUAAUCCAAAACCAUUUAGAAUAAUAUCAAGGUCCAAAAUUUUAUUUUGUUGUAUUUUUAAUCUAAUUUAGUGGCUGGCUAAACAUUGCAAUCAAACUUAAUCCCAAUAUGACAAAUGGCACUAUAGUUGUUAUAAAUAUUUUUGUAUAAAUAAAAUGGUAUUUUACUAUUACACAUUUUUAAUUAAGAAAAAACUGCAAAUAUAGUAUUUGUUGAAAAUUAUCACUUUCAUCCUAAAAUAUUUUGAGUAAUAUUAAUGGUCCGAAACUUUUAUUUUGUUGUAUUUUUUAUCCAAUUUAUUUUUUAAUUUUUUACAUUGACGAUUUUGCCCUUAUUUUUUUCAACUUGUUUAUUUAAAUUUUUUUGAAUAAAAGAAAAAUAAUAAACAAAAAUGAAAUAUCUCUCUCUUUCUCUCUCUCAAAAAAUAAAAAAAACAAAACAAAAAAACUAAAAUACCCUCCUUCUUCCCCGUCUCUCNAUAUAUAUAUAUAUAACAUUUAAACUUAUCUCUAUAUAGGCUUAGGUUAUUUUGUUUUUACAAACUAUUAUAUGUCAGAAUGCAUAGAUCAGGACCAACGGAUUAAAUUAAUCAAUGGACAUGAUUUGAGGGUGUAUGAUAUUACAAUGGGAUAACAUGUACCAUAUAAUCACAUAAAUUUUAGCAAAAGAGUAUUUUGGACAACUAACUACAUUUAUAAAAGGAAAUUUUCGGAUUUUUAGGGAUAAUUAAUUCUCCUAAUUUUAAAAAUCUAAAAUUUUUUAAUUAAUUUAAUUUUAAUUCUAACGUAAUUUGUAUACAUAACCGAUUUUAUUCUGUCAGAAUAUUUUUUUUUUGUUAGAAUGGUGUUCUUUCAGAAUUUUAUUCUAUUAUAGUAUUAUUGAAAAAUAACAACAUUCUUGAAUCCGAGGUUGAAAAAUAACAACAUUCUAAUAUAUUCUUAUACAUCCGAACUUAAAUACAAAUUCAUACAUAUUCUUACAGAUUAAAAGUCUUAUACAUUUUAAUAUAAUUAUACAUAUUCUAAAGAAUAUCAACAAAAAUGAAUAAAAUUCUUAAAAAAUAACAAUAUUCUAAAAUUGUGAGUAUGAUCAAACUUUAUUCAUUCUUCAAGUUAUUCCUAUUAGAUCUUCAACGCAUUCUUCCAUCCAUUCUAUCACAAAAUACAACAAAAACUAAUAAUGAUUAAAAACAUAUUACUUGCAAUUAACUAUCACUUUAUAUAUUCUAGUAGAAUACAUACAAUAUGACAGAAUACAUAAAAAAAUAAUAAUAGGCAAUCCAAGAGAAAUAUCUAUUACAAAAACAAAUANACUAUAAUUUUGGGAUGGAAGGAGUAAUAAAAUAAAAUAAUAAUAAUAAUAAUAAUAAUAAUAAUAAUAAUAAUAAUAAUAAUAAUAAUAAUAAUAAUAAUAAUAAUAAUAAUAGGCAAUCCAAGAGAAACAUCUAUUACAAAAUAAUAAUAAUAAUAAUAAUAAUAAUAAUAAAAGAUUAACAGGUACACAAAGAUUCUAAAAGAAUCUUUAAAUAUAAAGUGUACUUACCAUUUAAUUCUGAUAGAAUAUAUAUGCAAUUACCAUUUAUAGCAUCAUACAAUUACCCAUUACUAUUGUGUAACCAAAAUAUAUUAUAAAAUUUUUAAAAAACAUUCUUAAAGAAUCAUUAAUCCUUAAGUGUGAUUAUCAUUUUAAAUUCUAACCGAAUGUAUUCUAACAUAAUACACUAUACAAAGCAUAAUGUAUUCUUACAAAAUCUACUAUAUUGUGUAUUUGAUUUUCCUAAAAAAUCAGUAUUAUUGUAGAAUACAUUGUAUAAUAGUUUCUAACAUAAUACAUUAUACAAAGUAUAAUGUGUUCUUACAGCACCAAUUGGGUUUUCUUAAUGUGUUCAACAAAUUAAAACAAAAAUAACAAAUAAUUGUGUUUAGUAUAAUUGAUAAAAUAAAAAAUUACCUUGCUCAGUGAAACGAAAUUGUUGAAUUGAGAGUAAAAUCAAAUCAAUCUAUAUUAAUGAAUAAUCGAUCCACCAAGCAUUACCUAUUAAAUGGGAAAAUGAAUGUCACCAGUUGAUUAUUUAGAUUCGUUGAAUUCCAUACAACAUCAUUAUUUGUAAUCUUGGUGUACACAAAAGAUGAAAUAUAAUAAACAUAAAUGUGCAAUGUACUGGCCUAAACAAAACAAUUUAUAAAUUCUAUGUUUCACAUACGUUGAGAUUUAAUAUAGACUAUAUAUUGGGCACCUGAAAAGUCCAUUCCCAUACGUGUCAAUCUGUCGCCGGUGAGCACUUUCCGGUUUCUCCACUGCCAGUCAAAAGUCAAAAUAGACAUAGGCCUCUUCCAUCUAUCUCUGUCGAUUUAGAGUGGGAUUGCUCUGAAGAAAGAUAGGGUCUCCCUUUUUUCUUAUUCAAUUGAUAGUUAGUUUUCCGGUAAUGCCCCAUCUAAGAGCCUAUUCGUCGUAAGCCCUUAUAGAGUCAUAACCUAAUCUAAUCCAUAAUCAGGCUUAAGACAUGCAACCAACCUCUUCUUAGAUUCAGAAAGGGGCAGCCAAAGCAGGGACUUAUAAACUAGCAUCAGAUUCUGGACAUAUUCCUGCUACUAUAAGAUCCUUUACUCGUAAAUAAACUAUGGCAGUUCCUUUAGCAGCUCCCUCCGGGCCCGCAAAGAUAAGAGAAGAGCAGAUUCUUCCCAUCUAUGAAUCCAAACCUCCCGAGCAGCUGUAAGAACGGGUUUCGUUCUAGUGUNAUAUUUAUAGCCUUUUUUUUAUAUAAACCUGUUUAUUCAUCUUUUCAAAAUUUGGAGUUCCUUAAUACAUUUGUUAAAAUGGGUCCUAAUAGAAUUUUUUAUGACAAAAUAAAAAAUUCUAUAUAUGAUUGGUCAUAUAAUCGGGGUUACAUAGAUGCCUUUUAUGGAAGAUUCUUAACUGCGGGGAUUAGAAAAUUGGCCAACUUUGCUCAUUUUUUUGAUAGACGAAUAAUUGAUGCAAUUCCAAAUGGAGUUGGUCUUAUGAGUUUCUUUGGAGCAGAGGUUAUUAAAUCGGUAGGGGGUGGGCGUAUUUCUUCUUAUCUGUUCUUUUAUUUUUCUUAUGUAGCAAUUUUUUUAUUAAUUUACAAUUUUUUCAAUGUUUGAACCUUGUUGACUAAUCUCGCUAACAUUGAACUUGGUAAAAUGACCCUACCUGCCAACGCGCGGAUAGAUAGGGCGGGCGAAGCCCGAAGGGGAUGGAUGUCUGAGCGGUUGAAAGAGUCCGUCUUGAAAACCGAAGUAUUGAUAGGAAUACCGGGGGUUCGAAUCCCUCUCCUCCGCGAGGUCAUAAGUUCUCUCUUGCGUUAUCUUUAGAUAAGAACGAAUCGGAUCAACUCGACUGAUAUGAUAGAUUGAAUGGUAGCUUGUUUUAUGAUUUAGUUAGGACUCUGUCUCCCUUUCGUGAUCUUCCGCCCUCCGGUUGGGGAAGGUCCGGAAAGCCCUCACUCCCCCUUUUUCAAAAAGAAGCCCCGCUCAACAAGGGGCCCUCUCUGAUAAGGAAGAAAACGAAAGAAUCUCAAUUUUACGAAAAAUCCGGUCCGAUGGUUGUUCU